CCCGAACCAUAUGAAACUGCACGGUUUAAAACAUCUUCAUAACUUGGCGGUACUUUGUUAUUCUUAAAAGCCGUCCACCUCAACAAUUCAAGAGCUUCCUUCCCAUAUAGCCCUCUUACUGCAUAUGUUCUUUCUAUCCCAUGACAGGUUAGUAAGUGUUUAUCUCGGGUGGUGAUGAUGACUCUGCUUCCAGGACCGAACCAAUCAAGUCCUCCAGCCAAAGCCUCUAGCUGAUCCAGUUGGUCAACAUCAUCGAGAAUCAAAAGAAUCUUCUUCCUACAUAGCCUUUCCUUAAUGAUUGGAAUUCCCUCAGAAACAUCUCUUAACUUAAUGUUCAGUUGAACUGUUUUUGAAAGGAGCUCCUUCUGGAGAUGUUUCAAGUUUUUACGAGCUGAAUUCUCUCUAACAUUAUGAAGAAAGCAUACUCCUUCAAAUUGAUCAGCAAUGAAAUUAUAAAUUGCUUUUGCAAGUGUUGAUUUUCCCAAGCCUCUAGUACCAUAAAGUCCUACCAUGUUGACCCCUUCAUCAGAUUCCUCAUCAAGAAGCAAUUUUACUUGUUGUACUCGGGACUGUAAUCCAACAGGGUAUUUGGCAACGUGUAGAAAAACACGAUUGAUCCUAUCGGAAAUGUGUUCGACUAUAUUCUCAAUAAGCUCGUACUCAUAUCUAUUCAUGUCCAAUAGAUAAGUUAGUAAAAUCACAUCCAUGUAUUGACAAUAUAUUAUACAAUUCUAACUGUUUUGAAACAUAUACUUGUUUAAAAACAUAAAUAAAAAACAUGCUUCCUUUUUAAGCUUUAAGAUGAGAUUAAUGGGGAAAAGAAAUUAAAGAAAAGAAAAUAUAAAAAGGAAAAAUAAUAUUAAGUAAAGUGGGGUACCCUUGACUAAAAUGGUGGCCGGAGAAGUUAGCAGCUUGGGUAAGAGCCAUCUUCCAUUUCUUCAACCUCUCCAUGUUUUCCUUGUUAUUUUGGAACUUAUCUUCAUGCUUAGUAAGAUGCUCACCAUAACUCCCAGUCUGAUGUCGUACGUGAGUAGGAUCCGCACCAUAGAAAACAGGCAAAACCGAACAACCCCUUGUCUUGUAGCAGUGAAUGAUGUGGACAAGUUCGUCCAAGCAAAAUGAAGAAGAUGCAUAGUUUGCAGAAAAUAUGGGAAUCAAAAUCCUAGACUCUUCAAUGGCCUUGACAAGUGAUGGUGUGCUUUCAUCUCCUCUUUCAAGAUCGUUGUCAUCAAUGAAGGUUUUGAUUCCCUUGUCAAUAAGAGCCUUGUAGAGAUUGCCGGUAAAACCGUAAAGAGUGUCAAUGUCCCUAAAACUGAGGAACACAUGGUAUUUGAACCCAGAGGAAAUUGAAGAGGAAGAGGAAAGUGAUUGCAUAGCCAUGAGAAUUGAGAGAAAUAAGAUGAAAAAAAAGUUUGAGAAUAUGAAUGAGUAAGUUUUUGUGGUCUGUGAUGUGGAGUCUUUAAUAUGGAUCUAUAUAACAAGGAGAAAACUUGUGACAAAAAUGAUUUGUGAAACUUCUUGGCCACUUCCUAUAGCCGUGUGGACCAAUCACUAUAUGGACCUACCACCUCUUCUUGCUAAUUUCCUCAAUAUGAUUACUGUUCAAUUUUUGGACACAACUUAAAUAAAUAAACAAGUGAAAAGCCAAAUAAUAUUUCACUAUUAUUUUUUUCUUUGUUUCUGCCUAAUGCUACAAUAUACGGUUUUCAAUUUUUUUAUUUGGACACAUGAUUUCCAAUAUUGUAUUUUGACAUUGUAUACCAUUGAGAGUGAUGUUGGUUGGAGUGAGCACGACCACCCGAGAAGAGAAAAAAACUAUUUAAGACUAUGAAACCAAUAAGUAUAGCGUGUGUCUAGAUCUACGUUAAAAAAAAUUCUACAAGACAUUUUACAAGUUUUAUUUUUCAACCGAUUUUAUUCUUGUGUGUGAUUUUAUUCUUGUGUGUGAUUUUCAGUUUGUAAGUUAAUUAAUCAGUCCUAAAUAACAUGAAAUAAAAAUAAAUGCAGCCUAUGCUAUUCUAACAUCUAAUAAGACAGUUACAAAAUUAAAUCUGUUACUUAAUUACUCCUUUUUCAUUUUUGUUAUGUUAACUAUUACAAAUAGAUAUAUACAUAUAUAUGGUUGAAAGUAAGUAACAGAAGAAAUUUGAUGAAGACUAGUUCUACCUAAUAAUUUUGCUUAUUACAGAGUCAAAUUUUUUCUUUAAAAAUGGAUUUACAUGUCAUUGGUGAUCAACUAUGUCUUCAAAAUAUGACCUGUUUAACUAAAUGAUUAAUUAACCAUGCACACACAAUUAUUAGUGUAGGUUGUUAUGUUGAAUGCUUAAUUAGCCAUACAACUGUAACAUAGAAAAUUUAUAUAUAUUUCAUUCCAAAUAUGACAAGGCUUUGGAAAAAUGACUUUAAAUUUAAAUUUUCAAUUGAAGAUGAGAUGGAGAAGCUAAUUUUAUGUAAAAGAUUCUUCUAACUGAAUUAACAAUCACAUUUCAAAGUCAGAAAUAUGCUACCCUUCCCAAAGGAAUAUAUAUAUAUAUAUAUAUAUAUAUUACAUAUAUUCAAAAGUUUUGAUAGUAUUUCCGUCUUAAACUAACUAGUUAGUUAAAAACAAGAUUAGGGUAACAUAGAUAUGAAAUAUUCUUUCCUUCAUUUAUUUUCUCAAGUUUUGGCUACCAAGUCAACACUUUUACUACCGCAUGUUGAGUCUGAAACUUUCUUCUCAUCUUCCAUGUGGACAAAUGUGGGACACUUCCUUUGAAUUUCUACAUCUGUACGUGUGGACCAUUCAGCAAUAGCACCACUCAAAGACCAACCUUCAAAGUCAUUAUCCUUAACCUGUUUCCAUCAAUGAAGGAUAUGGAUAGGUGGAAGAAUAGUAAUACUUGUGUAAACUAAUGCGUGCCUUAAAAAUUAAACUAUGAAUUGCGAGCUGUGAUAUUUUGUUUAGACCUCAAAAGUCAAAAGUCUUUCUGAUAGUUAUUGUGUGUGUCAAGACAAAUACAAUCUCAUCUAUUGAACUGACAUUUUCUGCUCUUAUUCUAAGUCUAUACAAGAACUUGAUAUUUAUAUUUGAAAUUUGAUUCACCUCUUGUAAAUUCCUCCUCAUAAAAUUUUAAAGAUAAAUAAUUAGUGUUGGCACCCAAUUUAAAAAUGAAUAAAACUAAAGAAUACAACAAAUAUAAAAGUAUAAACUAUUAACGGAGGGGGGACACGGUUCUUUACUCCCAAAGAUUGUUUCAACAUCAUUUAAUAUAAUCAGAGAAUCAAUUAUCCUUUAACAACAAAAGCUAGCAACAACAACUUCAUGAUAUUUUUUUAUUAUUUCCAUUAUCCAAGGAAACAAAAGUUUACAAACGCGUCGACAUUCAAAUACAUUAUUCAAGGAUAUGGCCUCCAUAGCAAUUAUGAGCAUGGUUGUAAAUUUAAUCAAAUAAAAACACAAAUUGCAAUUAUAUUUUAUACUGCAUAGGUCAUGACUCUGGCAAAACGAUCUCAUGAAUGUUGGCUCUCAGAUUCAGUUCUUUAUCCCAUAUUACUAUAGAAAUAUAGAAAGAAAUUGUAUAAUGUUGAUAAUUACAAAUUUUGAAUAGUAGAAGUAAUGCUAGUUAUAGCAAAACCCACUAACUAUUGGUACAAGAUAUACUAACACACAGUUUUUAUUUAUAUGACCAAGCCUUUGCAUAUUUCUUCAUAUUAUCCGAUGUGGGACAUUAUUCUAAUUAUUAUUAUUGAAAUCCUCCCGCAAUUGUAUGGUUUGAGAGAGAGAUGCAACUUGGACAGUAAGUACUCGAACCUAGGAUGAAGCAGGGGUUUGGUUAGAAUAUCAGCAAGUUGAUCAUCGAUAGAAACAAAGGAUACUCGAAACUUGCCAUUUCGAACAUUUUCUCGGAAAAAAUGAUAGGCUAAGGCUAUAUGUUUCAUCCGAGAGUGAAAUACAGAAUUAGCACUAAGGUGGGUACGUAGCACCGAGGUUGUCACAAUAGAUGACUGGAUUGGAUGGUGGAGUGUGGCCUGAAGGUGAAAAACACAAGAAGGGGGGGGGGUUGAAUUGUGUUUUCUUUUUCUCUUAAAAAAGGAUUCUUCUUCUGAUAAAACUUCAGAAGCAGUUUGAUUGCUUCUGAUGAAAUGAUCAGAGUCAGAUUGCAGCGGAAAAGAACAGAGCAGAGAAAAGAAAGACAAAGACACAGGCAGUUAUCCUGGUUCCUUCCACAACACGGAAGUAGUCCAGUCCCCCUUGCACUUCCAAGGAGAUUUCACUAUAAUCACAAGAUUACAACUGCUCAAUACUUUCAAAGUAUGAGACUUCACAAAACAAUGCUCAAGCACACACGCAAGAGUCUUCCAAUGCUCAAGCACUAAGCAAGAGACUUCUAAUGCUCAAGCACGCAGGCAAGAGACUUCUAAUCAAACAAAAAUACAGAGAAUUGAGUUUGAAUUGAACACUUGAUAUACAAUCAGUGGUGUUCACAAUACAAUACAGAAAAGACUCUAGACUUUGAAUUUCUAAGAUGUAUCAAAUCAGUGCAGAAAUUCAGUGUGCUUUGUAGAAUCAAAUUGACAGAGUUUUGGCGCUUUUGAACUUAUGUAUCUCUAUCUAAAAUCUUCAAGUCUUCAUUCCUUUAUAUAGAGGCGUGAAAGAGACGUUGAGAUAAUCAGCACGUCUAAAGAGUCGUUUGAAAUCCUUUGAUUAUCCACCAGUGAUCCUUUGCCUGAUUUGGGUGUAGUCCUUUGAAGGAUAAACUUCAAAUUCAUUCCCAUCUUGAGUGUACAAAUUCUGCAGGCAUGGCUGUUGUUUUGUCUUGUAGCGUAGACAGAAAACAGAGUAGUGGAGGUAGUGGUUGUACACUUGUACUUUGUCAACUCUAUUAAUGAGAGACAAGUGCUCAGUGCUAUCCAUAUAUCCGUUGAUACCUCCCUUUCAAUUCUUCAUUCUUCUUUGAUAAGACUGAAUUGAGAAUCAGCAACUUUGAAUCUUCAGUUUGACUAAAGGAUCAAAUGUAGCUUCUGGUGAAAAUAUUGCUUCUGAUGAAAACUUUUGCUUCUGAUGACUUUCUGCUUCUGAUGACGUCAUCUCUUCAGGAGCAGUUUAGCUUCAGGAGCAGUUUUCUUCAGAUGCUCAGAAUUUCUUUUUCUUUCCAUUGUUCUUCCAAGACCUAUUGAAAUAACUUGAGUAGCCUUUGGUCCUGUACACUUGAACAAUUAUUAGUAAUAACCAAUUGACAAUUUUUAAUACCUUGUUAUCAUCAAAACUUAAUAAGGUUCAUUGUGAAACACAUUUUGUUCCAACAAUCUCCCCCUUUUUGAUGAUGACAAACAAUAGUAUUUAAAAUGUUCAAUUGUUGUUGAUCUAAUUAAUAAGUUGACUACUGGGACAGAGGUUUGUAAGCUCCCCCUGAGUCUAAUAGUUCUUUAAGGUGAGGUUUGUAAGCUCCCCCUAAGUUCUAUUCUUAUUAAUUAAAUUUCAAUAAAAUACUCAUAAAAAUCAAAUCAGAGGUAUUUAAAAGAAGUUUAGAAGUUGUUAUAGUAGGGCUCAGUGCCUUAAAAAUACUCAUAAAAAUCAAAUCAGAGGUAUUUAAAAGAAGUUUAGAAGUUGUUAUAGUAGGGCUCAGUGCCUUAAAAAUACUAUACAUUUACUCCCCCUUUUGUCAUCAACAAAAAGAAUAGAAACAAAAGAAAGAGUAUCAGAGCAAGCAGCAUUAAACAGUAAAUAUCAUCAGAGUCAAAGCUUGUAAAACAUAUUGAAGGUGAAAAAGCACAAGAUCCAGAAACAAUGAUAAUAUAUAUAAAGAAGAUUAAGAUACAAGGACACAGCUACGAAGAACAAAAGUAAAAAACAAGCUAGAGUUGGGUGUGCAACUAAGGUUGGGCUUGCUUAUACAACUGUUCUAAGAGAUACUUGAUCUGAUCAUCCUUCUUCUGAAGUAGCUCAUCCUUUUCCCUCAUUCUUCUUUUAUAUCCAGCCUGAAUUCUAGCAGCCCUAGUGAUGUACUCUUCUUCUGGAUAGAAAGGAGUGAUGUCCAGCAGAGGCUCAAAAUUCAGCUCUUUCUCCUUAGCUGCUUCAUGCAUAUCAUCCAAAAGCUUCUUCAGCAUAGCAGAGUGAGAUGACACACAUUUAGUUCUAAGCUGAUCCAGCAGCUCAUCAAAGCUCUUCUGUAGAUCCAUCCACUGAUCAUAAUAGUGAAUAGGAGGUGCAGGAACUGUUCUGCGAAGAAUCAGUGCCUGAAUCUCAUCACUAAGUCUGAUCAGUUGUUCCUCUAUAUACUCAGACUCCAGGAUAUGGUCAGGGAUGGGUGAAGGUUCAGUUUGAGUUGUAUUUGAUAUGGAAGGUUGGUCAGAGGUUAAGUCUAUUAUAGUGGGUGAAUCUGGUUGUUGUUGUUGUUCUGUUGUUUGGUCAGAAGGUAUAUGUUGGUCAGAAGUUGUUUGGUCAGGAGCAACUUGUUCAGAGGCAGUUUGCUCCUGAACAGUUUGCUCAGGGAUGGUUUGGGUUACUGUUUGGGUUUCCAAGACAGUCUUUUCAGGAACUGUCUUAGAGGCCUUAGUGGGUGUUGGUUGCAUUUCACCACCUAGAUGUUUUUCUAAGUUGUGAAGGGUUGAGUAUUCUUGGUGUUGGGGGGUUUCUGAAGUAGUUGCAUCUGAAGCUACUUCAGAGGCUUUUUGUGUGGUUGAGUUAUGUGGUGAGUUUGUUGUAGGUUCUGGGUUGGGUUGAGGUUGUUGUACACUAACAGGUUCAGGAUUAUCUGGAUAGAGUGGAUGAGUAGGAGGCAAAUUGAAUUUCUCACAAAGUUUAAUUCUAUUCUUAGAAAAUUCUAUUUGAGUUUGCUCCCAGUCAAGUGUUCCUAAAUCUGUUAGUUUGGUAGGUUUGGUUUUUAGAAGCUUGUCUAUGUGUUGGCUAAGGGGUUGGUCAUCUGAUUCUGUUGAUGAUGAAGAGGGUGAAGAGGGUAGAGAUGGAAUCUGAGUAUUAGUUGGAGCGUUAGAUGGAUUACCUGAAGACUGAGCUUCUGGAUGAACUGCUUCUGGAGCUUCUGAAGCUGGUUCUGAUGAAGUUGCUCCUGAAGCUUGCUUAUUCUUCAAGGCUUGAGAAAGCAGAGUUGCUCCAUACUUAACAGUUUCUAACUCCGAUGCUAAAGCAGCAAUGUCAGGAGUAGGCACAUACCCUGCAGCCUUGAGACGUUCAUCCCUUUCUUGUUCAUACAAAAUCUUCAUCCUUUUCUUUUCUGCUAUCUUGGAUGCAGCAACCUCCCUAGUAUACUGCUCCAUUUCUUCAGUCAUUUCGAAACUGGGCAUGACUAUGGGCUCAGAAGUUGCAGUCCUUUUUGCUUUCUUAGGGCUUGAGUCUUCAUCCCAGUUCUCUUCCAGUUCUUCCAACAUUUGUGCCCUUCUUCCUUCACUUGUCUUCAGAUUUCUUGUUAAAUUAGACCUUUUCCUUUUGAUGGUCUGAAGAGCAGCUUCUCUUUUAUUUUUGGGACUUGGAGGCUUUUCAGAAGCAGCUUGAUCAGAAGCAGCUUGUUCUGAACCAGCUUGUUCAGAAGCAGGCUGUUCUGCUGUUUCUUGAGUACUCCUUGUCCUUUUUCUGAUAAGAGGGACAUCUUCCAAAUUCUCCACUUCCUCAAGAAUGGUGGACAUAGCAGAUUUUACCUUUUUAGCUUUCUUAUGCUUCUGAGCACCCACCUCAGUAGCAUUUUCAGCAAGGUAUUCUUCCUUGGUGAUCUGCUUCUUCUUAGAUUUUCUGCUUUUGGCCACAGGCAGCUCACCACCAUACAUUUGGUCAGGAACAUCCUUCAAGCUGAUUUUCUGGUUAAAGGAUUUGUAGUGAUCCAUGAUAUAUGCCCUUUGAACCUCCAAGGGAUCUUGUUUACAGAUGGGAGGAAAGUCUGGGAUAAGAUCUGAUUUGGCAUCAGAAGGUUUCAAGUCAGUAGGACUCUUCUUCACAUCUUUUGCUUUAAUCAGAUGCAUAGCCCUUAGAGUCUCACCAUUGAUAAUCUUCCCUCUAACAGUUCCCAACUGUUCAUCUGUGAAGAUCUGAGCUUCUUUCAGCAUCUCAAUAAUUCCUCCCUGAUGGAAAAUCUCAGAGAGUAGUCUUCCAUAGGGUACCCAAGACCUUUUAUUCAGUUGACUCUCUCUGAGUUGAUGAACCAUAUGUCUGAAUAUGUAUCUGGGAAUAUUUGCCUCUACACCCUUUAUGACAAAGUGUAAGAGGAUUUUAUGUUCCAGAGAGGGCUGAUCACCACCACCACCUUUUGGUAGUAGGUUUUCGUUCUGAAUCUUCAACAUAACCUUUGUCUUGGUGUUCAUGUCAGAAUAGGCAAAGUCCUUUACCUUGUUGUAGAGAGUUUUGUUAACAAUAGCAUUCCAGGGGCUGUCCUUUGGCUUUGAAAUCCCAGCCUCAUGUUCUCCUUCUGCUGGUCUUCUGAUGACAAAGGCAAUAGUGUCCUCAGUGAUCCAGACACGGAUUCCCAUGAUGCUUGAUCUUAUCUGGGUUUUGGAGAAAGUUUCCAAGCCCAUUUCCGCUCUAGACUUCCCUUUGAGUUCAGGAUUGAGAAGAACUUUUUCAUCUUCUUCAAUCUUGGCGGCUUCCCUGUCGUAGAUGCUGGCUCUAACCCAGAAAUGACGAACCAGUGUUUGAUAAGUUGGUCCAUUUAGAAGAUUGAAGUACCUUCCCAGACCUUGUUUCUCGUAGUACUUGCCAAUGUCACAGUCGUGAGCGGCCAAAGAAUCAAAAUCCACCGGACUUUCUGAUUGAAUGUUUAAUUCCCAUUCCUCCAAGGACAUAGUUCUUCCUUUGAUUUCAUAAGCAGGAGUAUCUAUAUCCAUAUUCGAUGAAGAACCACCGGCAGAACUUGAAGAUGCCAUUGAUAUGAAGUGGUUUUAGGGUUCUAAAGAGUUUUUGAGAGGAUGAGAGAAUGUGCUUACUUACACAGAGGGUUGAGAAGAAAUUAGAAAGUGUUUGUUGUGAAGUGAGAAGUGUGUGAAAUGACUUAGUGUUUUUUAUUAAAACGUUUGUAAUUCAGAAGGGACAAACAAACACAGCAUUAAUGACAAAUUGGGGGCGCGUGUAAGUAUGUUAAAAAGCGAAUAAAAACAUCAUUGCCCUUUUUGUUAUACUCCAAUACAAAUAGACCACGUCAGAGACUCUUCAGAAAACUACCUUUUGGGUAAUGGGACAGCUGUUACAUAAAGUAACUGCCAGCGUUCCCACUAACCAAGCUAUUCAGAAGCAAAGAAUAACACUUCUGAAGUUUUAGUGCUGACGUCAUCUUCAGAAGCACAUUUUCCUCAGAACCUCAGUUUAAGAGCUUCUGAUGAACCAAAAAUGCUCCUGAAUAAACUUCAGAACCAAACUUCUUAUUCAGAGGCAAGCCAUUUUUCAAUCAGACACAAAAUGCAUGUUCAAAUUUUUCUUAAUAAAAUCAAAUCUUUCAACAGACAAAGGUUUUGCAAAUAUAUCAGCCCAUUGAUGUUCAGUAUCAAUGAAUUGUAUAUCUAAAAUUCCUUUUUGAACAUAGUCUCUGAUAAAAUGGUGUUUGAUUUCAAUAUGCUUGGCUCUUGAAUGUAGAAUUGGAUUCUUUGACAAACAAAUAGCAGCAGUAUUAUCACAAUAAAUGGGAAUACUGUUAGCAUUGAUCUGAUAGUCUUCCAACUGAUGUUUCAUCCAAAGUAGUUGUGUGCAACAACUUGCAGCUGAAAUGUACUCUGCUUCUGCUGUAGACAUAGCAAUAGUUGCUUGUCUUUUGCUUGCCCAGGAUAUCAGAUUCUCUCCCAGGAAUUGACAAUUUCCACUGGUUGAUUUUCUUUCAAUCCUAUCACCAGCAUAAUCAGCAUCACAGAAUCCAAUCAACUUAUAAUCUAGGGAUUUCCUAUACAGGAGUCCAAGAUUAGUUGUUCCUUUCAGAUACCUGAAGAUUCUCUUAACUGCAGUUAAAUGAGAUUCUCUAGGAUCUGAUUGAAAUCUUGCACACAAGCAUACACUGAAUAAAAUAUCAGGUCUAGAUGCAGUGAGGUAUAACAGAGAACCAAUCAUACCUCUGUAUAGCUUCUGGUCUACUACUGUUCCAGUAUCUUCUUUGCUUAAGGUGCAGGUUGGAUGCAUUGGAGUGUUCAUCACUUUACAAUCUUCUAGCUUGAACUUCUUCAGAAGCUCCUUUGUAUAUUUUGUUUGAUGAACAUAUACUCCUUCUUUACUUUGGUUGAUUUGAAUUCCCAGAAAGAAUUUCAAUUCUCCCAUCAUACUCAUUUCAAAUUCAUCCUGCAUUAACUUAGAAAAUUCUUUGCAAAGAGAUGCAUUAGUAGAACCAAAUAUUAUAUCAUCAACAUAUAUUUGCACAAUCAAAAUAUCUUUCUUAAGAGUCCUUCUGAAGAGUGUUGUGUCAACUUGUCCUCUUUCAAAAUCAUUUUUAAUUAAGAAAUUACUUAGUCUAUCAUACCAAGCUCUGGGAGCUUGUUUCAAGCCAUAUAGUGAUUUCUUAAGUUUAUAAACAUGGUCAGGAUGCUUAAGAUCCUCAAACCCAGGAGGUUGUUUAACAUACACUUCUUCUUCAAUGACACCAUUAAGAAAAGCACUUUUGACAUCCAUUUGAUAUAAUAUUAUGCCAUGAUUAAUUGCGUAGGAUAGAAGUAACCUGAUUGCUUCCAAUCUUGCAACUGGAGCAAAUGUUUCAGUGUAAUCAAUGCCUUCUUGUUGACUGUAGCCUUGAGCAACAAGUCUGGCUUUGUUUCUGGUUACUUCUCCUUGUUCAUUCAGCUUGUUUCUGAAUACCCAUUUUGUUCCAAUAAUGUUCUUCUGAGAAGGUUUGGGUACCAGAUCCCACACAUCAUUCCUUUGGAAUUGAUUUAGCUCUUCUUGCAUAGCUAAUAUCCAUCCGUCAUCUGAGAGAGCUUCUUCAACAGUUUUAGGCUCAAUUAUUGAAAGCAGUCCUAUUAGAGACUCUUCUUGUCUAAAAUGUGAUCUUGUUCUUCUAGGACUAUCUUUGCUUCCAAUGAUUAACUCCUCAGGAUGUGAAGAUUUGUGCUUGAAUUUAGGUUGAAUAACCUGCUGAGUGUUAUCUUGAAAGUCCUCAGAAGCACUUUCAUUCUGUACUUUUGGGCUAGGUUCUGCUUCUGAAUUAGACUCAGCUUCUGGAGUGAUUUCAGCUUCUGGACAAGAUUCAACUUCUGUAUACUUUUCAGAAUCAGAAGGUUGAUCAGAUUCUGAUGCAUCUUCAGAAUCAGUUGUACCUGCAUUACUUUCACUUUGCUCUGAAGUUUUACUUCCAGGCUCUCUAUCAUCAAAUUUUACAUGCAUAGAUUCUUCAACACAUUGUGUUUCUGAAUUAUACACUCUGUAUGCCUUUGACCUUUCAGAGUAACCUAAAAAGAUUCCUCUUUGAGCCUUGGCAUCAAAUUUCUUCAGAUAGUCUUUAGUGUUUAAGAUGUAACAAGUACAUCCAAACUGAUGAAAGUAAGAGAUAUUGGGUCUUCUUCCUUUAAAGAGUUCAUAUGUUGUUUUCUCCAACAUAGGUCUGAUAUAGAUCCUAUUUUGAAUAUAACAUGAAGUAUUGACUGCUUCUGCCCAAAAAUGUUUAGCUAAGUUGUUUUCAUGGAUCAUGGUUCUGGCCAUUUCUUGUAAGGUUCUGUUCUUUCUUUCUACAACCCCAUUUUGUUGUGGAGUUCUAGGAGAAGAAAACUCAUGGAGAAUCCCAUGUUUUUCACAAAAAAGUUCAAAUGGCUCAUUUUCAAAUUCUCCACCAUGAUCACUUCUGACUUUCAAAAUUUUCAAUUCUUUUUCAGAUUGUAUUUGAGUGCAGAAGCUGCUAAACACUUCACAUGCAUAGUCUUUACUUUUAAUGAAUUUUACCCAAGUCCAUCUGCUGUAAUCAUCAACAAUGACUAAUCCGUAUUUACUUCCAUAUAAAGAUGCAGUGUUAACUGGACCAAAAAGAUCAAUAUGGAGUAAUUCUAAGGGUCUGGAGGUUGAUAUAAUGUCCUUAGAUUUGAAAGAACUUUUCACAAUUUUCCCUUUCUGACAUGCACCACAAAGUGCAUCUGAAUGAUAAUCAAUGUUAGGCAAUCCUUUGACCAGUUGUAACUUGCUAAUUUUAGAAAUUAAUCUCCAAUUAGCAUGUCCCAACCUUUUAUGCCAUACCCAUUUUUUAUCAUUCAUUGACAGAAGGCAAACUACCUUCUGAUCAGCCAGAUCAGAGAAAUUUAUUUUAUAAACAUUCUCAACUCUCUUUCCCUUGAAUGUAAUGGAUUUGUCAUCCUUGUUGACUAGUGUGCAGUUGGUCUUACUGAACGUUACAUCAUACCCAUUGUCACAAAAUUGACUAAUGCUCAAUAGGUUAUGCUUCAGACCAUCUACUAGCCACACAUUAUUAAUUGAGAUGGAGGAAUUACCAAUAGUACCUGUACCAAUGAUCUUUCCAGUUUGGUUGCCACCAAACUUCACUUCUCCUCCAUCUUUCAUUGUAAGGGUAAGGAACAAAGCUUUCUCUCCAGUCAUGUGCCUUGAACAUCCGCUGUCUAGGUACCAUGACCUUUGUUUCUCUCUUGCCCUUAAGCACACCUGCAUUUUUGGCCAAUUCAGAUUUAGGUACCCAUAUCUUCAUGGGUCCUUUUGGGUUAGUUUUGGAGGUUUUACUUUUCCUCCCUUGCACCUUAGGGUGAAUGCUGAGUGGCUUCUGAUCAUUCAAUACUUUGGGUUUGACACCUUUUGGUAUUGUUUUCUCAGAAGCAGUAGCUGCUUUGUUCUUCUGAUCCUUUUGUUUUGGAAUUUUAGAUUCUGGUUUAAUCAGAUUCUGAUGAACAGGUUCUGAUCUUUUCAGAAUUUUAAUCUUUUGACUCUUAGGAUCAGAUUUUGUCAUUACCUUGAUCUUAAGAUUCUCUGGCUUUGAUGUGAUCUUAGCCUGUGAACCUGAAGCUUCAGGUUUUGACUGAACAGCAGUUAUAGCAUUUGUACCUUCAGGCACAAAGGUGGAUUUCAAUCCAUCCUUGAUACAAUCACAGUAGCUCUUGAGACUGUAUUCUUUGGAUUUCUCCUCAGAAUAUCCAAUCCCUUUGCCUUUGUUCUUGUAUGUGCUGUAGAUCAUAGAAGCAACUUUGCUUCUGUCUAUUCCAGCCAUAAUAAAAUCAUCCAAGGCAAUCUCAUGUUUAUUGCCUGAACCUUUAUCACAUUUUUCUUGUAGCUUCUGACAAAGACUCUUGAGUCUAUCUUCAUAUGUUGUUGAUAUGAGGUUAAACCCUUUGAGUUCUUCUUCAGAAGCUUUCAGUUCCAAUAGAGUUGAUUUUUGUUGUUUCAUCAAAUCAACAUAUUUUUCUUUUAAAUCUGUCAACUCAUUGGUUCUGUGUUCAAACAGUGAUAAAAGUUCUUUUAGAGAAUCAACAAGUUCUUGUCUAGGGAUUUUGGAAUAUACCUCAUUUUCAUCUUCUGAAUCUGAUUCAGCUUCUGAUACUGCUUCUGAUGAUACUGUUGCCACUAAUCCAACGGCUGCCUUAGCAUCAUCAUCAGCUUCUUCUUUAUCAGAACCAGAUUCACUAUCCAAAUCUUCCCAGGUCGCCAUCAAGCUCUUUUUGAUUUGCUUUCUGAAUUUACUGGAGUUGAAGCUUGAUUUCUUGGAUUUGCCUUUAAACUUCUCCUUCUGAAGAUCAGGGCAAUCAGCAAUGAAAUGACCAGGCUUCUUACAAUUGAAGCAUCCCUUCUGAUCUUCUUUCUUGAAGUUCUUGUAGCUACCUCUCUUGCUCAAAAAUUUCUUCUGCUUCCUUGCCAGAUACUCAAGCUUGUUGGACAGCAUAGCCAUCUUUACAGAUUGAUCUUCAUCAGAAUCUCCAUCAGGUGAUUCUUCUUCAGAUUCACUGGCUUUGUAGGCUUUGGAAGACUUUGAGGUCUUUCCUUUAGAUGGUAAAGCAAUGGAUUUACUCUUCUUAGAGGUUUCAUGCUCAUUUAAACUCAUUUCAUGCACUUUGAGUGAGCUAACAAGAUCUUCAACACUUAAAGUAUUUAGAUCCUUAGCUUCCUCAAUAGCAGUUACUUUGGGUCUCCAUCUUGAAGGUAAGCUUCUCAAAAUCUUACUAACAUGAUCAGAAGCAACAUAGCUUUUCUUCAGUAUCUGCAAUCCAGAAACUAAAGUUUGAAAUCUUGAGUACAUUUCUUCUAUACUCUCAUCAUCCUUCAUUCUGAAAAGUUCAUACUGAUGAACUAGCAUCAAUAAAAGAAUGGAAAUGGAAUGCUAAAUGAUAUGUAUGAAGUACCAAAGUAAACUUGUUAGUAAAAAAAAACAUAACAAGUACUAAGAAAUAAAAGCAUGCAAGAUGGCACAAAAAGUUAUCAAAAUGACAUUAAACCCUAAAAACUUAGGUAUGAAACCUAAAGCAUUCUUGGCCUCUAAUUCUCAUGCUUUAACAAAUUUUGAAAGAGUUUUCUUUAUCUCAAGUUAUAGCAUGGAAUUAUUGGAAACAUGCAAACAUGGUUUCAUGCCAUAUUUUCUAGAAUAAACUUGGCAUUUUAUAUCUUUCAAAAUAUGCAUAUAUUGUUCAUAAAAUUAAGAACUUAUGAACCAAAUCAAAACAGCAAAUCAACAUGAAAUUAUAGGCACAAAUCUCUCAUAUUAACACAUCAAGUAGCUUUUAUUACAUAUUCUCACAUCAAGGACAAAUGUGUGAAGAAGAAUUCAUAACAAAUAAUUCAAAGAGAAUUAAAAUGCUAUGAAUUAAUUAUACCAAAAUUUCAUAGAUCCUUAAUGUGCAAAAAUGUCAUAAAAACACUAAGAAAAUAUCAAGAAAUAUGUAUGAAUUUUUCUAGGAAUUUUAUCACAAUUUUAAUCAAGACAUAGGUGCAGGUAGCAAAAAAAUAGGGGUGUGAACAGCAAGAAAAAAGCAAGAAAUGUGCAGAAAAUUAAGCCCAAACCCAAAGCCCAACACCAAAACUCAGAUUGCACAGGAACCACACGAUUGAUCCAGGGUCCUGAAACCCUAGAUCAAACGGCCAGGAACCAAGGGGGGGUUGGACCGGUCCUGAACCGGUCCGGUUCACUGGCUUUAUAAGGGAGGGAAACCGGUUUUUUUUAUAAUUCUUCUUCUCCUUCUCUCUCUUCUCUCAUUCUAGUGAGAGAAGCUCUCACUUCUCUCUUCCUCACCGCGCCGGAUUCUGGAAAAACAGGAGAUGAUCUUCAUCUUCUCCGGCGGAGUUUGUUCCUCCGGCGUGGUGGCCGGCCACCCAAGGGUGGCGGCGCCGCCGCCGGAGUUGAGCAAACUCCUCCGAUUUUGAAAAUUUUUACAUUUUUAGAUAUCCUUUUUCGUGCUAUUCAUGAAUCCAAACUUAGUUUUUUGAGAAAAAGUCCCAAUCGGAGUAGAUCUAGCUUCAAAGAUUCGGAAAUUUGAAUUUUAAAGAGGAAGAAAGAGGAAGAGGAAUUGUCACCUAUUUGUGGUGUGUUGUAGAGCAAGGGAGAGAGCUUUGCUUUCUUCCGAAUCCGGAAUAUUCCUUCCUUCCUUCUCUUCUCUUUCACGUGUCUCUUUGACCGAUUUUGUGCUUGUUGUUUGGUGAUGUUCUUGGCGCGGAUUUGUGGAUUUUUGUGAUUCUUGGUACGGAUUUGGUUCGGAUUCGGUUUUGUGGCUUUUUGGUACGGAUUUGUUGCUUUUUGGUACGAAUUUGUUGCUGGAUUUUGGUACGAAUUUGUUGCUGGAUUUUGGUACGAAUUUGUUGCUUUGUUGAUUUUUCUUCUUCCCCUCUCUCUGUGAUCGUGCUUGAAUUCGCCGCUUCCGGUGGCGGAUUCGCACUUGAAUUGUGGAGCAGAGGCGAUUCGAUGAUGAAGAUUCGCAAAGAAUCUCUGAGAAUCACCCAAAAAAAGGAUGAAUUUGAUGAAUCUGUGAUGAUUUUCGGUUAGGGUUUAUGUGUGUGUUCUUGAUGAUUUUCUGUUUUGAUUUGUAACUGAAUAGAGAGAGAGAAGAAAAAAUCUGUUUGUGAUGUGUCACUGUGUGAAUGGAAUCCUCCUAAAAAAUCUGACACUGUUCCCCUUUUAUAUGCUGCCAUGUGUACCUGAACCAAUAAAAAAGUGACAUCUGGACUGGACUAAAAUUUGUGCGAAAAUUUGGACCAAAAUGCCCUUUGGGGCGUUUCUGCAGAAAAAAAUGAUAAUAAAAGGACUGAAAUGCAAUUCUUAGAAACUUUUGGACUGAAAUGUAAUUUUGGGACCUCAAUUGAGGGACCAAAAUGCAAUAAAAAAUAAAAUUGAAUAAAAAACGCAAUUUGAUCGAACGUAAAGCGAAACAAAAAUAAAAUUGACAAAACGGACUUAAAACGAACCAAUGGCCUAAAUGAGGUACUUCAAAGUAACCUCCCUAUGUCAAAAUUUCGUGUGAAAUGACCAAAAUGCCCCUAGGGCUAAAAAUGACCUAAACUGACUCAAACAGACUUGACACUGACUCGGACGCAAGUUUGAAAUGAAUUUAAACAGGGUUUACUGAUGAAAUGUUAAAAAUGAAUUUGAAAAGACUCAGAGACAGUCACAAGGAUGAAAAUGGGUCCCACUGCAGGAAAUGACCAAAAUACCCUUCUGCAUGACUUUUUGCAAAUUUUGAAAUAAACUGUAGAAAAAGCAAUGUAAUGAUUCAGAGACACCUUUGAAUGACUUUCAAGACAAGUAAAGACAUUUUGAAAGGUUUUAUGCAAAAAAACAUAGGUAAAAUUGUGAUUGAAAAAAAACUGCGAGACAGAGACAAUUUGAACUGUGCAGUUGACAUUUGAUAAUUGACAAAGUUUGAAAUGAAAUUGGGCCCAGUAUUUUUAGGUCCAAAAACAGGGUAUAACAGCUGCCCCUAUUUAAGUUUCUUUGUCUGGAGAGUCAAGAGACGGAGUCUUUGGCUUGACAGGACGAAGAUACUUAGAUAUUAGCAUUUGCACUGUGUUUGGACGUAAAAAUACGCCUACCCAUUUUCAAAUAAUAUGCAUGCCAUGCAUCAUUUGGAUUAUGAAUGCAAGACCUCAUGGGGAUUGGAAUUAACAAAAUAUGUCGUAUCCAUUGCGGGAUUGGUAGACAUUGACAAAGAUAGUGAAUAGCAGAGUAACGGGAAACUAGAAACAAGUUGGACAGGUACAAGCUGUUCUUGGAUUCAAACUAGCCACUUGACCGGGAAUGAAACAAACAGACAACUGCGAGUUGUUCUUAUGGAUUCGAACUGGUCACUUCACAGGGGAUAGAGGUUACUGGACAAAUAUGAGUUGUUCUUAUGGAUUCGAACUGGUAACUCACUUGGGGAUAUUGGAAAGUGCGAGUUGUUCUUAUGGAUUCGAACUGGUGACCCGACUGGGAAAAAGAGAAAAUUGGCAAGUACGAGUUGUUCUUACGGAUUCGAACUGGUAACUCACUUGGGGAUAUUGGAAAGUGCGAGUUGUUCUUAUGGAUUCGAACUGGUGACCCGACUGGGAAAAAGAGAAAAUUGGCAAGUACGAGUUGUUCUUAUGGAUUCGAACUGGUGACUCGACUGAAAACAUGUAAAAUUGGCAGGUACGAGUUGUUCUUAAGGAUUCGAACUGGUUACUCGACUGAAAGCAAGGCAAAUAGACAGGUGCGAGCUUGUUCUUGGAUGCGAACUGGUUACUCCACCGGAGACAAAUACAAAAUAGACAGGCGCAAGCUGCUCUUGGAUCGAGCUAGCCACUUGAGCGAACAGAAACAGAUAGACGGGUACAAGCUGUUCUUGGACUUGAACUAGCCACUUGACCCAAAAUCAUAGACACAUAGACAGGUACGAGCUGUUCUUGGAUUCGAACUGGUAACUCGACCGGGGUCAUGGAAAAGUAGAUAGGUACGAGUUGUUCUUGGAUUCGAACUGGUCACUCGACCGAAAGCAAAGGCAAAUAAACAGGUGUGAGCUUGUUCUUGGAUGCGAACUAGGUACUCCACUGGACAGAAACAUAUAGACAGGUACAAGCUGCUCUUGGAUUGAGCUGGGCACUCGACCGAUAACAUUGAAAAGUAAACGGGUACAAGUCGUUCUUGGAUGCGAACUAGUAACUUGACCAAACAGAAACAUAUUGACAGGUACAAGCUGCUCUUGGAUUGAGCUGGACACUCGACCGAUAACAUAAGCAAAUAGGUAGGUUCAAGCUGCUCUUGGAUUGAGCUUAGCCACUUGACCAAGUAGAAACAGAUUCACUGGGGAUUAGUUUUUUUUGACAAAAUAUAGAUUGAGAUUGACUUGACGUCGAUUUGAAUUGAAAGGCAAAAAUUGACCGAUAUUAUUGGCUCACAAGGUUUUGACAGAGAACCUGACAUGAGUAUCGAAUUGAGACUGAUGUUGACAUUGGAAAUGCAAUAUGCACGGAUGAUAUAACAGUUUCAUUAAAUGCAUGGGCACGUAAUAUGCAUGAUUAUGCAUGUAUGAAUGCUUGUAAUGCAUGACUGUUGGCAUUUUGUAGGCACGACUUCACGGGGAAGACAAGACAUCAGAGUAUUGGGCACGUAGUGGCUCGUGCUAUAUUACACAUUCUUGGAAAUCCUCUAUGGAGAUGACGUCGUUGGGGGACGUAUCGGAGCCAAGGCUGAGGGCAGGUAGGUAUGCAACUUGCUGGGGAUAGAAUCUUGAGAGACCUCACCGGGGAAAACGCCGUUGUGCUGGGCAUCUCAGUGCUGGGUACGUUGUAGACAUUGCAUCUGUGGUCAAUGCUUUUUGCAUGUUAUUUUUCUCAAUUUCAUCAUUUUCAUUUUUUUUUUGCAUCCCAUUUUUGCCUGGAUCGCCUUUUCGGGUUUUCGAUCCACCGGGGAAAUAAAUUCUUUUCAAUGCCCCAUUUUUGCCUGAACUGCCCUUUCGGGUUGUCAAUCCAGCGGGGUGCUCAUUUUUGCCUAAGCCGCCCUUUCGGGUUUUCAACUUAGCGAGCCUAUUCACUUUCAUGCAUUUUCAUUCUGUUUUUUCAUUCUUGCCAUUGACCACAGACUAUCCUGGAGGAGAACCUGCUUGUAACACAUAUUGAAAUAGACAUCAACAUACUCUCGCUCAUGCAUGUUUCAUUUGAAUGUACCCUGUUGCUCAGGUUUGCUUUUCAAAAUAGACCAAAGGUUUUCAAUUUUCAAAAAUGUUUGUUUCAAGCAUUGUCAUUAUCAAAAUAGAAAGAAAAUGUUUUGUAUAUAGCUUUGAAAGUAGAAGAAAAAUAGAGUUUCAAACAAAAGCAAAGGCUCAACUUGAUGUAUAAGAGUGGUGGUCAGCCAAAGGCAUGACUCCACGGAUUCACAAAGCUUGGAAAAUGGUAAUUUUAUUGGUUGGUGGUACAUUGAACACGGUAACCACUACAGUUCUUAGAAACUUUGAAUUCACAAGUACAGAAGCUUUUGAUGAAGAUAGGCAUUAACAGCUGCAGAUGCCCCAAGGGGGACGGUGGUUGGCCAGAUAUAGUUACUUGCCUUUUGUUUCAAUCUCAUUUUUGCAUGAACCGCCCUUCCGGGUUUUCGGCUCAUCGAGACGCUCAUUCUUGCCUGAGUUGUGUACAAUCUCAGCGAGCUUUUCAUAUAUUUUUUUGUCCCUUAUUUUUGCCUGGACCGCCCUUUCGGGUUUUCGAUCCACCGGGAAGCGCAUUUUUGCCUAGGCCGCCCUUUCGGGUUUUCGACCUACCACGCUGUUCUUUUCAUAUUUCUAGGCAAAGUAUUUCUUGACUAUAUCGGCAUUCACUGGAUUUGGAAGUUCUACACCAUCCACGUGUGUAAGGAUUAAAGCACCACCGGAGAAGGCCUUCUUGACAACAUAAGGACCUUCAUAGUUAGGCGUCCACUUGCCCCUUGGGUCGGGUUGCUGGCUUAUCCUCCUUUUCAAUACAAGUUCCCCUACCUUGAAUUCUCGAGGAUGGACUUUCUUGUCAAAGGCAGUCUUCAUUCUUGCUUGAUAUGACUGUCCACGAGCCAUGGCAUCCAAACGUUUUUCCUCAAUCAAAUUCAACUGAUCAUACCGGCUUUGGCACCAUUCAGCCUCGGAUAACUUUGCUUCCAUGAUCACACGGAGAGAUGGGAUCUCCACUUCCAAAGGAAGAACUGCUUCCAUACCAUAUACAAGAGAGAAAGGGGUUGCCCCGGUUGAACUGCGCACAGUAGUACGGUAACCAUGCAGAGCAUAGGGUAACAUCUCAUGCCAGUCCUUGUAAGUGGUUACCAUCUUCUGGACAAUUCUCUUGAUAUUCUUGUUGGCGGCCUCAACUGCACCAUUCAUCUGAGGUCUAUAGGGAGAAGAGUUAUGAUGCUCAAUUUUGAAUUCUUCACAAAGAGCUUGCACCACAUUAUUAUUCAGGUUGGUACCAUUGUCGGUAAUAAUCUUGCUGGGAACACCAUAUCGACAGAUGAUGUUGUUCUUGAUGAACUUAGCUACCACUUGCUUGGUCACAUUAGUAUAAGGUGCUCCUUCAACCCACUUGGUGAAGUAGUCAAUUGCCACUAAAAUGAAACGAUGACCAUUUGAAGCCUUCGGUUCAAUUCUUCCAAUCAUGUCGAUGCCCCACAUUGAGAACGGCCAUGGGGAUGAAAUAACAUUGAGGGCGUGCGGAGGCACAUGAAUCUUAUCAGCAUAGAUUUGACAUUUGUGGCACUUUCUGGCGUGCUGGUAGCAAUCAUGCUCCAUGGUCAUCCAGUAGUAACCUGCUCGUAACAACUUCCUUGACAUAGUAUGCCCUGUAGCAUGGGUCCCAAAGGUACCGUCAUGUACAUCAUGCAUUAACUGCUCUGCUUCGUGUUCAUCAACACAUCUUAACAAUACCAUGUCAUAGUUUCUCUUGUACAGAAUAUCUCCAUCUAACAGGAAUCUACUGGCCAAUCUUCUCAGGGUCUUCUUGUCUUGUUUGGAAGCACCCGGCGGAUACUCACGGCUUAGCAAGAACUGUUUGAUGUCGUAGUACCAGGGUUUAUAGUCAACCACAUUUUCGCCAGCCUGAUCGAUCACAUCCCCAAUAGCAAACACAUGCGAAGGUCUUUCAAGGCGUUGCACUUUGAUUAUUGGCACAUCAUUCCAAUGGUUUACUCGAAACAUGGAGGAUAGAGUAGCAAGAGCAUCAGCCAUUUGGUUCUCAUCACGAGGAAUAUGGUGCAGCUCAACCUUUGUAAAAUAUGUCAGCAAACGUCUCGCAUAAUCAUGAUAAGGAAUCAACUUAGCAUGGUGGGUCUCCCAUUCACCCUUUAUCUGAUUGAUGACGAGCGCAGAAUCUCCAUAGAUGUCGAGGUGUUUGAUUCUCAUGUCAAUUGCUUCCUCGAUCCCGAAGAUACAUGCUUCAUACUCAGCCAUAUUGUUGGUGCAUUCGAACAAAAUUCGGGCGGUAAAAGGAAUGUGAUGCCCUUGCGGGGAUACAAUGACUGCCCCAAUUCCUUUGCCAUAAGCAUUGACAGCACCAUCAAAGACUAAACCCCACUUGCUAUUGGGAUCUGGACCUUCAUUAAUCAACGGUUCGUCGCAGUCUUUGGAUUUCAAAUACAUGAUCUCUUCAUCAGGGAAAUCGAAUUCAAUUGGUUGGUAAUCAUCAAGAGGUUGAUAAGCAAGGUGAUCGGCAAGAAUGCUGCCUUUGAUUGCCUUUUGAGUUUUGAACACAAUAUCAUAUUCAGACAAAAGCAUCUGCCAGCGUGCAAUCUUCCCAGUAACGGCCGCUUUCUCAAAGAUAUACUUUAUCGGAUCCAUUCUGGAUAUCAACCAAGUUGUAUGAUUCACCAAAUAAUGACGCAGGCGUUUGGCAGCCCAAGCUAGAGCACAACAAGUCUUCUCAAGCAUUGUAUACCGAGUUUCACAGUCGGUGAACUUCUUGCUUAGAUAGUAGAUAGCAUGCUCUUUCUUUCCGGUUUCAUCUUGUUGACCAAGCACACAUCCCAUGGAUUCAUCAAAUACUGCCAAAUACAUAAUCAAAGGCCUUCCUUCCACGGGUGGGACAAGGAUAGGUGGUUCCAGCAGGUAAUUCUUGAUGCUAUCAAAAGCUUCCUGGCAUUCAUCGUUCCAUACAAUAGGCUGAUUCUUGCUCAAGCAAUCGAGUGAUCUCAUAUGGUAUAUCAUCAUCCUCUUCAUCUUCGGCUUCAUACACAGGGAAUUCAAAAUUUGGAGGAACCGUAGGAUUACUGUGUUCAACGGGUUUAUUAUGGUUCAAACUGCAUAGAAUGGUUGAAUGAUUUUAGAAAAUGUUUUUUUUUUCUUUUAUGCAGUUCUUUGAAAUUGAUAAGAAAAAUAAAGAUGUUUUGGUUUUUUCUGGUAUUACCAUUAUUUCCAAGAAAAAAAGAAAAAAAAAAUCACUAAAAAAUAAAAGUCGUGAAAGAAACGACGAUUUUUGUUAAUAACGGCGAUGCCGAAACAAACACGCCCUUCCAGAAAUAUCACUUUCGCUUCGGGCAGAGCGAGAGGAUGGUUAUUUUGAAAAACAAAACACUUAAGCAACAAGACACAUUAUUCGGAAACAUGCAUGAUUGAAUGAAUGUUGAUGGCAUCACAAUUUCUCGCAAUGCCUCCUGGUAUAACAAACAUAGGCCUAGGACUACAUCCAGUCGCCUCUUCAGUAAUUGCAUUGAUAAACUCAGCACUGUUGAAGAUUCAUGUGGCAUUGUACUUGUAAGGAAUAGCCUUUGUAGAAGUAUAAGGUACUGGUCCGGGCAGCCUUAUCACUUAGAGGCUCAACAUUCUCUUUUGAAGGCACGCUCUUGACGGGCGGAUCAUGAAAGACUGGCACAAUCACACAGACAUCACUGACAGUCAGAAGAUUAUCAUCCAUCAGGCUUUGGAUGUCGUCUUGAACAGUAUAGCAGCCCAAAGGAUCACAGAGGCAUCCUAGACACUUGGCAUGAUCAUGGCUGAACAGAGAGGCUUUGCAUAGCUUGAUAUGCAGAGGCACCAGAGGAGUGGCAACAUUGUGGACAUCAAGUCUAGGAGCUUCCUCACACACUUCGAUCAUAUUCACAGCGGCAUGAUUUGGAAGAGGAUUGUCAAGGACAUGUGGAACAUUAUUCUCAAAAGUCAGCUUUCCCUGAUCAAUGAGCUUCUUCACGAUAUACUUCAAAGCAUAACAUCCCUCGACAUCAUGACCUAAGGCACCUUGAUGAAAGUCACAUUUGAGAUCAGACCUGAACCUUGGAGGCAACGGAUCAGGUGGGGGCUUACCCUGUCUAGUUGUACAAUGUCCUCUCUGGAGUAGAGUUGGAAGAAGUUCUGCAUACAACAUCGGUAUAGGAGGAAAAGUUGGUCUAGUAUACUGCUGCUGUUGUUGUUGUUGUUGUUGUUGUUGUUGUUGAACCGGCAACUGUUGUUUCAUCUGUUGGGCAAUUGCAUUGACGGGCACUUGAGGCUGGCCCGGUGGCAAAGGGUACUGAUGAUAAAACGGUGGGAAGAACGGAUGUUGAGAAUACGGCAUAUAUGGGUAUGACGGAGGCAUUUGAGCUGCAUUGAUAGGAGCAACGGUAGCCAUAGAUUGACCGGCUCCAGCUGACACCAUCCCCACUUCCGUUUCUUUCUUCUUGUGGUGUCCAUUACCAUAUCUCUUCGAUGCACUCGUAGAAGAUUCAGCUUUCUCAAACACAAUGAUCCCAUCCCUGACUGCUUCCUCAAGACGGGUUCCCAUAGUGACCAUCUCCGAAAAGUUGUUCGGGGCGGCGAUGAUCAUCCUCUCAACAUAAUCUUUCUUCAAGGUCUUUAAGAAUGUCUGGGUCAUUUCUUCUUCAUCUAAAGCAGGAGUGAUACGGGCAGCUGCCCCUCUCCAUCUUUGUGCAUAUUCCCGGAAACUUUCCUCCUUUUUCUGAGAUAGGGACCUGAGGAACUCCCUAUUCGGCUUCAAACGAGUGUUAAACCCGUAGUGGCUCCUGAAAGCGGUGGCCAGCUCAUCAAAAGUAUGGACAUCGUCUUUGCUCAGACUAGUAUACCACUCUGCAGCAUCUUCCAUCAGACUGUCUUGGAAGUAAUGGAUCAUAAGGGAAUCAUUGUCCUUGUAGUUGCCCAUCUUCCGGACAUAUUUGACAAUAUGAUUUUGAGGACAAGUCAGCCCGUUAUAUUUGUCGAACUCCGGGACUUUGAACUUUUUUGGAACAUCUACCUUCGAUACUAAGCAGAGAUCCUGGGUUUUAAUGGAGUCUCCAUUUCCCCUAUUGGCCUUAAUUUCCCGUCGGAGCUCUUUGGCAAGUUCUUCCAUUCUCUCUUCCAUAGUUUCGGUUGCGGCAAUACUCCCGUGGUGUGCAUUAGCAUGGACAAAUAGAGGCACCGCAUUCACAAUGGGCUCGGUAACAGUUGUUGCAGCUUGAGUCAAGGCGGUACUAAUAGGAGUUAAGUUUGCCCCUGGGAUUGGGCCAUUGUUGGUAGUACCAGAGGUCCCUGCCCCUGUAUUAGCAGUAUAGUACAGCGGAAGCCCGUAAGGAUACCCGGAUGGCAUGAUAGAGCGGGGAUCAGUUGUUACGGUAGGAGUCACAUUUGCAGCUGUAGAAACUACAGGAACUGGUUGUUCCUGAGCAGCCAACAGAGCAGUCAUAGCAUCAUGAGCUUUGGCCAAUUCCUCCCUUAGAGAUGCCAAUUCGGUACGAAGCUGUGUGUUCUCUUCUUCCAUAGCCUUUUUCCUUCUUCUGUACUCUCUGGUUCGAUCGAUUCUAUCAGGUUCGUAGACCUUCUGAGCACGAGCCACUUUUCAAACUGUGGCAGAGGAACCAGGAAGUAGUGAGCAAUUGGAAGCCUUUGUGACCGAUGUAUGAUGCAUAUGAUGCAUGAUAUGCAGAUGCAAAUGCAAAAACGACUCUUUUUAAUGUCAUCGAAGGACUUUUUAAACAAAUUCGAAACAUUGUAAACACUGUUAAACAAGCAAAAUAAGGUUUUACAAUGGUAAACUUAUGAAUACAAGUUCACACCUGCGGUGUCUUACAAUGUUUCGAUCUGUCUAAAAAAAUCUUCGAUGUAUGCGUGAAAAAAAACUUAUGCAUGUAUGCAUGGUUGUUUUGUUUAGUUACAAAGAACAAGGUGGGUUGAGAUUCAAAGUAACAGGGCCACGGAUGGACACGGCGUCCGGUGAACUAAGGCUUUGGAUAGUAGUAACCAAGGUUCUAACACAGUUCCCAAACUGCAACCUCUCUCACAUAUAUCAUGGUAGUACAGGACGACACCCGUUCCAUGAUUAUUUGUGAGAAGGUCUAGUUUGAGUGUAGUAUCGCGUGACGACUAAAGUUUGAGACAACACUCAAUUUAGCCACCGCACUACGUCCUAAAAAGGCUAGGAUGGGUUUGGUAACUACGGUUCAUAGCUUCGUCGAACAAUUGAAAGUGAAGUGCCUAAGCAUGACAACACACGCCGACAAUAUCACCUUCAAAAUGCCUCAGCUAUGUGAGAUUGAUCGCAUAAUCCAAUACACGAGGCAACCCCCGGAUCGAAUUGUCGAUUAUAUCUCUACCUAAACAUAAGUUCACUCAGCCCGGGUAUAGGACUUUUGAUAUUCUCACCCCACACGUCAAAUGAAAAUAAACAAGUAUUCACAUAUGUAAGCAAUAAAACAAAGCGUAAAUAUAAACUAAGGAAAACUAGGCGCGACCCGCUAAAAAGAAUCCCCAGUGAAGUCGCCAUUUCUGUUAUCAUGGUUUUUGGGUGCCAAGCCAUUAAUUGGACUUGUACCUUUCGACCGUUGAUAUCUCUCUUUUUUCUUGGGAAGGGUAAAAGGAGAAAAACCCUUGAGUUUCCGAAUUCGGGGGUCGGUUUUACCACGGGAAGGUGUUAGGCACCCGGAGUAACUAUAGUCCUCUAUAGGAGCCGUUUUCCUAAGUCUAUAUUCACGCUUAUUUUUACUUACUUUUGAAAAUGGGAGGUUUAUUUAGUUAAGAAUGGGGGGAGAGAAGUUGUAAGACUUUUUAUCUUUUAGUUGAUUUGAAGAAAAUUUUAAUGUGUUGCUAUUUGAUUUUUUAAAGUUUGAAAAUGAUUUUUUGAAGAAGAGAAAGGAGGCCUUAAAGGCUUGAGAAGUAAAAAAUGUGAAGUUUGUCCAAUUUUACUUAAUAAAAUAGUCUAAGUCAUUUAAGGUUCAUUUAGAAUUUUCUUAAGAAAGUAAAAGGAAACACCAAAGGAGUUUUGACUCCAAAGUUCAUUUUAAAGAAAAAGAGCUAGAAUUAUGGAACUUGGUUUGCUUUGCGAAAAAAUAUUUUCUAAGUACUCGCGUUACCUAAUCAUACAUCUAAACGAAUGUCAUACACCGUGUGUGAGUGUCGGUGCUCGUGCCGGUGUACAUCAAUAGAGUCCAUAGUCCCUUUUACAUUGUCCUAGAUACAUUCUAUGGUCUUUGCAUGAAAUAUAAAAGAUAACACCUACCUAAAUAUUACAAUUCCAAAUAAAAGUAAAAAAAAUGGAUGCAAAGAAACUAAACUAUGUAAAAGAAUGGAAAUGGAAUGCUAAAUGAUAUGUAUGAAGUACCAAAGUAAACUUGUUAGUAAAAAAAAACAUAACAAGUACUAAGAAAUAAAAGCAUGCAAGAUGGCACAAAAAGUUAUCAAAAUGACAUUAAACCCUAAAAACUUAGGUAUGAAACCUAAAGCAUUCUUGGCCUCUAAUUCUCAUGCUUUAACAAAUUUUGAAAGAGUUUUCUUUAUCUCAAGUUAUAGCAUGGAAUUAUUGGAAACAUGCAAACAUGGUUUCAUGCCAUAUUUUCUAGAAUAAACUUGGCAUUUUAUAUCUUUCAAAAUAUGCAUAUAUUGUUCAUAAAAUUAAGAACUUAUGAACCAAAUCAAAACAGCAAAUCAACAUGAAAUUAUAGGCACAAAUCUCUCAUAUUAACACAUCAAGUAGCUUUUAUUACAUAUUCUCACAUUAAGGACAAAUGUGUGAAGAAGAAUUCAUAACAAAUAAUUCAAAGAGAAUUAAAAUGCUAUGAAUUAAUUAUACCAAAAUUUCAUAGAUCCUUAAUGUGCAAAAAUGUCAUAAAAACACUAAGAAAAUAUCAAGAAACAUGUAUGAAUUUUUCUAGGAAUUUUAUCACAAUUUUAAUCAAGACAUAGGUGCAGGUAGCAAAAAAAUAGGGGUGUGAACAGCAAGAAAAAAAGCAAGAAAUGUGCAGAAAAUUAAGCCCAAACCCAAAGCCCAACACCAAAACUCAGAUUGCACAGGAACCACACGAUUGAUCCAGGGUCCUGAAACCCUAGAUCAAACGGCCAGGAACCAAGGGGGGGUUGGACCGGUCCUGAACCGGUCCGGUUCACUGGCUUUAUAAGGGAGGGAAACCGGUUUUUUUUAUAAUUCUUCUUCUCCUUCUCUCUCUUCUCUCAUUCUAGUGAGAGAAGCUCUCACUUCUCUCUUCCUCACCGCGCCGGAUUCUGGAAAAACAGGAGAUGAUCUUCAUCUUCUCCGGCGGAGUUUGUUCCUCCGGCGUGGUGGCCGGCCACCCAAGGGUGGCGGCGCCGCCGCCGGAGUUGAGCAAACUCCUCCGAUUUUGAAAAUUUUUACAUUUUUAGAUAUCCUUUUUCGUGCUAUUCAUGAAUCCAAACUUAGUUUUUUGAGAAAAAGUCCCAAUCGGAGUAGAUCUAGCUUCAAAGAUUCGGAAAUUUGAAUUUUAAAGAGGAAGAAAGAGGAAGAGGAAUUGUCACCUAUUUGUGGUGUGUUGUAGAGCAAGGGAGAUAGCUUUGCUUUCUUCCGAAUCCGGAAUAUUCCUUCCUUCCUUCUCUUCUCUUUCACGUGUCUCUUUGACCGAUUUUGUGCUUGUUGUUUGGUGAUGUUCUUGGCGCGGAUUUGUGGAUUUUUGUGAUUCUUGGUACGGAUUUGGUUCGGAUUCGGUUUUGUGGCUUUUUGGUACGGAUUUGUUGCUUUUUGGUACGAAUUUGUUGCUGGAUUUUGGUACGAAUUUGUUGCUGGAUUUUGGUACGAAUUUGUUGCUUUGUUGAUUUUUCUUCUUCCCCUCUCUCUGUGAUCGUGCUUGAAUUCGCCGCUUCCGGUGGCGGAUUCGCACUUGAAUUGUGGAGCAGAGGCGAUUCGAUGAUGAAGAUUCGCAAAGAAUCUCUGAGAAUCACCCAAAAAAAGGAUGAAUUUGAUGAAUCUGUGAUGAUUUUCGGUUAGGGUUUAUGUGUGUGUUCUUGAUGAUUUUCUGUUUUGAUUUGUAACUGAAUAGAGAGAGAAGAAAAAAUCUGUUUGUGAUGUGUCACUGUGUGAAUGGAAUCCUCCUAAAAAAUCUGACACUGUUCCCCUUUUAUAUGCUGCCAUGUGUACCUGAACCAAUAAAAAAGUGACAUCUGGACUGGACUAAAAUUUGUGCGAAAAUUUGGACCAAAAUGCCCUUUGGGGCGUUUCUGCAGAAAAAAAUGAUAAUAAAAGGACUGAAAUGCAAUUCUUAGAAACUUUUGGACUGAAAUGUAAUUUUGGGACCUCAAUUGAGGGACCAAAAUGCAAUAAAAAAUAAAAUUGAAUAAAAAACGCAAUUUGAUCGAACGUAAAGCGAAACAAAAAUAAAAUUGACAAAACGGACUUAAAACGAACCAAUGGCCUAAAUGAGGUACUUCAAAGUAACCUCCCUAUGUCAAAAUUUCGUGUGAAAUGACCAAAAUGCCCCUAGGGCUAAAAAUGACCUAAACUGACUCAAACAGACUUGACACUGACUCGGACGCAAGUUUGAAAUGAAUUUAAACAGGGUUUACUGAUGAAAUGUUAAAAAUGAAUUUGAAAAGACUCAGAGACAGUCACAAGGAUGAAAAUGGGUCCCACUGCAGGAAAUGACCAAAAUACCCUUCUGCAUGACUUUUUGCAAAUUUUGAAAUAAACUGUAGAAAAAGCAAUGUAAUGAUUCAGAGACACCUUUGAAUGACUUUCAAGACAAGUAAAGACAUUUUGAAAGGUUUUAUGCAAAAAAACAUAGGUAAAAUUGUGAUUGAAAAAAAACUGCGAGACAGAGACAAUUUGAACUGUGCAGUUGACAUUUGAUAAUUGACAAAGUUUGAAAUGAAAUUGGGCCCAGUAUUUUUAGGUCCAAAAACAGGGUAUAACACUAAUUGUUCAUAACAUGUGCCAAAAUUUAUGAAGAAAAACAUGGCAAGAAAUUCACAAAAUUAGGCCAAAAAGAACCAAUUAAUCAAGAAAAUAACACCUACAUUUUUAUCAUCUUUAAACAGGUAGCAAUAUCACACAAAAUGUCAAAAGAUACAACAAAAAACAUAUAGAAUUUUUAGGAAAUUUUUAGAACAAAUAGAGGCGUAUAUAGCAGGAAAAUAAGGUGCAAAUAGCAAAGAAAAGGCAAAAAAACAAAAGAAACUGUAAGAUAAAGCCCAAGCCCGAAACCUAAAGGCCUGGAAGCACAGGGAUGCCAUGCUUAAUUUCUGAGUCAAUAACCGAGUGGAACAAAAGUGACUUAUAUGUAUAUGCAUCAUACAAGUAAUAAAGCAUAUCCAGGAAAUUGGGAGAGUGAAAGAGGAAUAUCAUAAGCUUAACUUCGAAGUUAAUGUCAAGGUGUAACAAAAUUGGUUUCUCUAUGAUUAGCAUUUUUACUUAGAGAAAAAAAGACAGGGGAUGUCAACCAUUCAUGAGGAAAGUAAUGGUAGACAUUACGCAAAACCAAAUUUUAUCACAUUUUACAAAGUAAAAUAAUAGGGAUUGUUAUGCCAAAUUUUUGCGUGGAAAUAAUAUUCACAGCAUGCCAUGUACUCCCUUUCAUUGAUGACCGUGUUCUUUUUAGUUGAUUUUUGUUUAAAAGUGACUUGAACAAAGUGUGGCUGGCCAUUUAUAAAUGGAUUAUUGCUAGUCAUUGUGUUUAAAUAGAUGACUAGCAGGAGUUGGCUACAGAAGUUGCAGCCACAUUUAAAUUUAUUAGAAGGCAACUAAGAAACAAGAAGAUUAGAGAUAUUGGGAGACCUCAAGAUUUUAGACUACAUGCAAAAUAAGUACCUGUUUCCAAUGUCAUGCAUCAAAAGGUUUCUCUAAGCAUUGCAUUGAAAAUUAUCAAAUCAAGAAGCUUAAAGAACCAAGAGAAAGAGUUAUAUGGUCCAUCCUUAUAGAUAAAAAAAUGUAGAUAUUUAGAGUUUUGUUAAUAUGGAAAAAAGGCCAAAUUUAGAAAUGUUAUUUAUUUUGGUAUAUCCUUGGUCUCUCUUUCCUCUUUAUGCUAUCAAUUAGUUCAUGUAAUUUUUUUGGUUCAAUUCAUUGAUGUGAUCUAAAUAGCUCAAUAUAGCUUUUUAUAAAAUGUCCACUCACGAAGCAUAGCUUACAAUAAAAUGUUCAAGUAGUAUACACAAAGAAACAAAUAAAAAUAUAUACACGAGUUAGCGCAGUAGAAAAAGCGUGCCCGUCUGGACGCUAGUAAUAAUGAAAAAUAAUAAUAAAUGAUGCAUUGGUAUUCUAAAGUGACAAUUAUUUUGAGAAAAAGAAAAAUGAGUAAAAAGAAAAUUAUUGUGAGACGGAUGGAGUAUUUAGAAAUUUAAACCUCAAAAUUCGAACAGCUUAAUAGCUAAUGCUACAAAAACUCGAAUAAAUACUCCCUCCGUCUCACAAUAUUAGUUCGCUUUUGUGCACGAUUAUUAAAGAAAUGAUUAAUUGUGUUGAUUUUAGUUGUAAAAUUAAUUGCAUUUACUAAAACACCCUUACUAAAACACCCUUAUUAAUUGUGAAAUUCAAUAAAUAAGGGUAUAAUAGUGGAAAAAAAACUAAUAAAUGUUACAUUGGUAUUGUAAAGUGACAAUUAUUCUGAGGAAAAAGAAAAAUUGUCAAAGAGAUAAUAAUUGUGAGACGGAUGGAGUAUAUGUUAACCUAGUGAGUUAACUAGAGCAAUAAAAGAGCUUAAUAUUAUCUGUCACUUUUUUCUCAAAUUCUCAUUCAAUUAUUAGUAGGACCCUGCGCUUUAUUUGGCUUUGCACUUUUACCAGCCAGUUCCUAUCUUCUGGAAACCAACGUGAAUGCCUUGAAAAUCAAAAGUAUUUUCUGAUAUUUUAAUCUCAUCUACCAAUUUGACAUUUUUCCAGCUGUCAUUCAUAGUCAAAAUUGGAAUCUAAUAAAUGUUGUAGUCUAUACAGAGUAACUUGAUACCUAUAUUUGGAGUUUGAUUUACCUUUUGUAGAUUCUUCAUUAAGUUUUAAUGAUAAAUAAUUAGUGUUAGGACCAAAAUUAAAACCGGAUAAAACUAAACAAUACAAAAAAUAUAAACCAUUAAAGAGGGGGAUACGGUUCUUUGCUCCCUAUUAAAUAUCGUUGAAACAAUAUUUAAUAAAAUCAGAGAAUCAAUAAUCAUUGAACAAGAAAAUUCAGGUUGAUAGCUAUGGCUACUCCUUUCUGCAAGACACAAGCAUUCAAAUAGAUAUGAUAAGUAACACAAUAUACAGUUACGCUCCAACAGAGAAGAUUGCUAUUGAUUACUCGACAAAAUGAUUGUGUAUCAUGCCAAAACUAAGCAUUAACCUCACCGUAAACCUCGUACGUCCUUAUCAUUUAUACAGCAUGCUUCAAUUGCAAUCACGUUAAACCUCAUUCGUAAAAGUUAAAAAUGUAUACAAGCAUUAAAUUAUCCAUACGUUUAUAGGUUAGACAGAAAGCAUGUGACGUAAGUCAAGAGAGAUAUAGCAUUUAAUACUUCAAUGCCCUCAUCACAUCCAGAAGUUGGAUCUAUACCCAUUUCGAGCUGAUUACCUCAUGGUGGAAGUUGAAACUUCCAGCCAGUAGAUCUCUAGUUAGUGAGUUGCGACAAUUUGUUAUAUUCAUUAAUCAUCUACUACACGUAAUUAACCAUAUAUUUUGUUGUGUCAAAAUAAUACAAGGAAGACAGACCCAAGCAAUUAACAUGCAUAUCUGUCAAAUAUGGAAAGGAAAAAAAAUUUAAUACUAAGAACCAGCAGUGACAUCAGACUCUUAACUCUGGAACAGGACAAAUCUGUAAUGAGUCAAAGAGUUGAAAGAGGUAUUACAGGAAAUAUGAAUGUGGACUCUUAUAAAUACGAGAAAGCCAAGAGAAAAAGGCAUGGAAUAUGUGUGAUGUCAACAUUCUUCUUCUAACCACUUCUCUCAUUUUACUAUCCUUAUUUUCUUGCAAUUUUAUUUCCUGCAAUUGUACUCAUUGUGUGUUCACAGUGAAACGUUAUCCUUUAUAUCAAUUUUAGUACCAAUACAUUGGUGCUAUGGCAUGGGCUGAAUCAGUAUGAGCUCAUUGGAAAAACAUAGAAGCCGAGUAUAAUCGAUUGGAAGAGUUGCAAAGGAUCUUUGAUUCAUCUUUCCAGUAUGUUAAUCAUAUCAUUGAAUUUUAAUGCUGAACCACUGCUAUUGAAACCUCCAUAUCCAUUUGUUUUUACUCUGACUCCACCACCACCUCAGCCGAAACCUCCUGAUCGAAGCUUUGCGCAGAUUCCCGUGGAGUUUCAAGUGAUACGGAACUUCACCAUACAUCCACUGCCUCCAGAGCCUCUAGACACCGAUCACACAGCAGUGAAUACCAUAGUUUUGCCUUCUUGUGUGGAAAUAGCAGUUUUCCCACCAUCUGUUUGUGUGAAUGAUUGUGUCAUCAUCCAGCUAUUGUUGUUCAUGUUGUUUCGGUGUUUACCAUUGGUUCGACAUCUCAGCGAAAAGGACCAUGAACAGGUAAUCCUUGUUGUUUAUCUUAGUGUUGGUUCGUAUGCUCCUAUUUCUCUAGACUAUGGCUAUACAAUGAAUGUCUUUGAGAAGAGUGAGGUUUAUGGUUAUGGUGUAGUGUUGUUGAUUGUCUUGACUUGUAAGUAUAUUGAUGAGAAAUGGAAACAAGAACCACAUUUCCACAUGGUGACAUAUGAGAAUAGAUAAUUCAGGAACUUAGUUUUUGACAAGGUUCAAAUUCAUCAACAGCCACCCAAAACAUUUAUGAGUUUGGUAGGAUUAUCUUGCCACAUAACCAGGAUGAUACAAUACUUUCAAGAGAUGUUGAAUCCCAAUAAAAAGAAUGGCACUCCUGUUGUUUUGAUUUGGUUUGAAAAUCUCCAGCAACGACAUCAAUUGUCGCUUGAACCAUACCAUGCUCACUUUUGGAGUUGCAUGAAUGCUAUCUCUCAUAAUGAUGUUAUGGCUAUUGUUCAAUUAUUUUCCUUUGUUGUCAAAUUGGUUGUUUCUAUUCCUGAAGAUGUAUCUCAAGCUAUGGGAUUGAGCCUUGCAUUUUUCAGGACAAAAAUUAAGCAUGAUAAGGCUCAUUAUUCAAUUAUUUUCCUUUCUUCUCAUUAUUCAAUGUAAAACGAUACAAAACAACCUUCAGUAUGUGAAAGAGGCUGCCAUUGUGUUUGUUUUGUUUCUACAACCAAUCCAAAUCAAGGACAAGAGUUAUCAUAUAAUAACUACUUGGAUGUUAUUACUACUUUCAACUUUGUGCGUGCAUUUCAAAUUCCAUGUGGGGUAGCUUCAAGUGAUGUUGUUUUGAAAUCUUGUAGAAUGAACACUACAGCUUGUAGCUUCUCAAGAUUAGAGUAUAGCAACUUAGGGACUUCGCAAUUGGGUUGGAAAACGAAAUUUGAUGGGGAAUGGUGCAUAGAAGAUCUUUUGGUUUUGAGAAUUGACAUGGUUCAAAGAGUCAUACCAAAGAUGAAGUGUUAUGGGCAUUGUCCACAAGGUAUUGUAGUUUCUCUUUUGCAUUGGUCCGGGCUGAAAUUGGCGAGGAAACUCAACUUGUGGAAACCAUCUAGCCUGACUGCAGACGUAAAAAGAAGAGUAGUGAUGGAAAUGACCACUUUUAUGUUCAUAGAAACAUGUAUGCUUCUCUUAUUUAGUAAGGCUCCUAACAUCAAAUAUCAUAUUAAUGUUAAUCCUACCUCAUUGCUUGUCUAUGUUGGUAGUGAUAUACAAGAUCUUCUAGCAGUUUUGGAGGAAUUUUCUUGGGUGUUUUAUCCUAAUAAAGUUACUCUUGCUAGGAUGCGUCUUGAAGCUAAUAUGAAUUCUGCAUUGUAUUUGAGCAGAUACAAUGUCAAGGUUUUCCUUCUCAAGUGCCAUACGAUGGCAGGGAGAGUGAUAUCAAUAAAUGGAGUGUCCUUCAAAGACUGAGAAAUAUUAUAUACAAGACGAAGUUCUUGCUGAACAAUUGCAGGAUCAGGUGAAGAAGCAUCAUCGGCUUGAUGGGUGUAAAUUUAAAGAAGACUUGGGGCUAAAAGAACCAAGAGACAUGAACGAUCUUCUGGUUCAGGCACAUCCUUACAUCAAUUACGAAACAGCUGAAGCCGUCAAGAAGAAACAACCUUAGAAAGAGUACAAGCUACAGGACGACAGUCAAAAAACACGAGGGAACAAUUCUCGGUUCUCGGAAUACAGUCAGUUUAACGCUUCAUGAGAACAAGUUUUCAAGCAAUGGAAAACACAGAAUUCAAAGAUGCCGGCAUCAAAGCCCCAGCGCCGUUGAAGGAAAUACCACGCAGAGACAAGUCCAAGUACUGUAGGUUCCACAUAAGUAGCGGCCACAAUACAGAAAAAAAAUUCCAGCUGAAGGAUGCAAUUGAAGAUCAAAUCAAAAAAGGGAAGUUGAAACGCUACAUCAAAGAUGAUUACCACAAAGGUGGUAAGAAGAAAUACAAAGACUCCAAUCACAAAUCUUCUCUCAGUAGUGAGUCCACAAAGAGAAAGCGCUCUCCUUCCUAGGAAGACACUCCACCCACAAAGAAACGAUUGACGUCGCUGACAGAGGCAAUAAGGAAAGGAAAAUGAUGACCACCAUUAGAAGAACGGUAAAACGUGUCUUCCUGGACGCCAUCAUGGGGAAUCUCCGAGAACGGGUCCAAAGGUACAUGAAGAGGAAGGUAGCUCAAAUGCUCGCAAUCAAUGUCACCAUACCAUCUUCUGAAGCUGAGUAUAGGACAUUAGCACAAGCAACCUUUGAAGGACAAUGGUUGUUGUAUCUUCUGCAUGAUUUCUUAGUUCCUCAUUCUUCAUCUAUUAUCAUCAUAUAUUGUGAUAAUCAAUCAGCAAAGCAUAUGGCUGCUAACCCUAUUUUUCAAGAGAGGACAAAGCAUAUCAAAAUUUAUUGUCAUGUUGUCAGGGAUAGAUUCACACAGGAAUGCUUCAUCCACUACCAGUGUCUUCCAAGGAAAAAGUAGCAGAUAUAUUGACCAAGUCACUUCACCCUGGGUCAUUGAACAUUCUUCGGCACAAGCUUGGAAUGAUUGACAUCUAUUCCAGCUUGGGGGGAUGUUGAAGCUAGUAUAGAUACAGUCAGUUAGUUAAUUAACUUGCACUGACCUUAACUCCUUGCUACCAUUCUCUAACUAUGAUUAGCUAUAGAAGUAACUACAGUUAGGAGGAUAUAAGUGAUAUAUAUACUCUUGCUAGUUCCACUUUGAAGGUGAGAAAAACACAAGAAGGGGGGGUUGAAUUGUGUUUUCUUUUUCUCUCUUAAAAAAUCUUCUUCUGAUAAACCUUCAGAAGCAGUUUGUGAGUGCUUCUGAUGAACUGAUCAGAAUUGGAUAUGCAGCGGAAAAGAACAGAGCAGAGAAAAGAAAGACAAAGACACAAGUAGUUAUCCUGGUUCCUUCCACAACACGGAAGUAGUCCAGUCCCCCUUGUACUUCCAAGGAGAUUUCACUAUAAUCACAAAGAUUACAACUGCUCAAUACUAUCUAAGUGUGAGACUUCACAAAGAUGCUCAAGCACACACGCAAGAGUCUUCCAAUGCUCAAGCACUAAGCAAGAGACUUCUAAUGCUCAAGCACGCAGGCAAGAGACUUCUGAUCAAACAAAAAUACAGAGAAUUGAGUUUGACUUGAACACUUGAUAUACAAUCAGUGGUGUUCUCAAUACAAUACAGUAAAGACUCUAGACUUUGAAUUUCUAAGAUGUAUCAAAUCAGUGCAGAAAUUCAGUGUGCUUUGUAGAAUCAAUUUGACAGAGUUUUGGCGCUUUUGAACUUGUAUAUCUCUAUCUUCUAUCUUCAAGUCUUCACUCCUUUAUAUAGAGGCGUGAAAGAGACGUUGAGAUAAUCAGCACGUCUAAAGAGUCGUUUGAAAUCCUUUGAUCAUCCACCAGUAAUCCUUUGCCUGAUUUGGGUGUAGUCCUUUGAAGAAUAAGCUUCAAAUUCAUUCCCAUCUUGAAGGCACAAAUUCUGCAGGCAUGGCUGUUGUCUUGUCUUGUAGUGUAGACAAAAAAACAGAGUAGUGGAGGUAGUGGUUGUACACUUGUACUUUGUCAACUCUACUAACGAGAGACAAGUGCUCAGUGCUAUCCAUAUAUCUGUUGAUACCUCCCUUUCAAUUCUUCGUUCUUCUUAGAUAAGAUUGAAUUGAGAAUCAGCUACUUUGGAUCUUCAGUUUGAUUAAAGGAUCAAAUAUAGCUUCUGGUGAAGAUAUUGCUUCUGAUGACCUUCUGCUUCUGAUGACGUCAUCUCUUCAGAAGCAGUUUUCUUCAGAUGCUUGGAAUUCUUUUGCUUUUCAUUGUUCUUCCAAGACCUAUUGAAAUUACUUGACUAGCUUUUGAUCCUGUACACUUGAACAAUCAUUAGUAUAAACCAAUUGACAAUUUUUAAUACCUUGUUAUCAUCAAAACUCAAUAAGGUUCAUUGUGAAACACAUUUUGUUCCAACAAUCUCCCCCUUUUUGAUGAUGACAAACAAUAGUAUUUAAAAUGUUCAAUUGUUGUUGAUCUAAUUAAUAAGUUGACCACUGGGAUUGAGGUUUGUAAGCUCCCCCUGAGUCUAAUAGAUCUUUAAGGUGAGGUUUGUAAGCUCCCCUUGAGUUCUAAUCUUAUUAAUUAAAUUUCAAUAAAAUACUUAUUAAAAAUAAAUAAUAUCAGAAGUAUUUAAAAAGUUUUGAAAUGGUUAUAAUGGGGCUCAGUGCAUUAAAAUACUAUACAUUUACUCCCUCUUUUGUCAUCAACAAAAAGAAUAAAAACAAAAGAAAGAGUAGCAGAGCAUAUAAACAUAUAAGCCUUAAAAUACAAUGUAUCAGAGCAGACAUCAUUAAACACAGCAAAUAUUAUCAGAGUUAAAGCUGUAAAACAUAUAAUUCAGAAAAACAAAGAUAAUAUUUAUAAGUUAAGAUACAAAGGCAAAACUACUAACAACUUAGAACAAAAAUUAAAACAAGCAAAGAGUGUUGGGUGUGCAACUAAGGUUGGGCUUGCUUAUACAUCUGUUCCAAAAGGUACUUAAUUUGAUCAUCCUUCUUCUGAAGUAGCUCAUCCUUUUCUCUCAUUCUUCUUUUAUACCCAGCAUGAAUUCUUGCAGCCCUUGUGAUAUACUCUUCUUCUAGAUAGAAAGGAGUGAUGUCCAGCAGAGGCACAUAAUUCAGCUCUUUCACCUUAGCUGCUUCAUGCAUAUCAUUCAACAUCUUCUUCAGCAUGGCAGAGUGAGAUGAGACACACUUAGUUCUAAGCUGAUUCAUCAGUUCAUCAAAGCUCUUCUGCAGAUCCAUCCACUGAUCAUGAUAGUGAAUAGGAGGUACAUGAACUGUUCUGCGAAGAAUCAGUGUCUGAAUCUCAUCACUAAGCCUGAUUAGCUGUUCCUCUAUAUACUCAGACUCUAGGAUAUUGUCAGGGAUGGGUGAGGGUCCAGUUUGAGUUGUAUUUGAUGUGGAGGGUUGGUCAGAGGUUAAGUCUAUAAUAGAAGGUGAUGCUGGUUGUUGUAUUUCUGUUGUUUGUUGGUCAGAGUCAUGAUGUUCAUGAACAGACUGUUCAGAAGCACCAAGAUCUUGGUCAGUAGCAACUUGUUCAGAAACAGUUUGUUCCAGAACAGUUUGCUCAGGGAUGGUUUGGGUUUCUGAUUGUUGGUUUUCCAAAACAGUCUUUUUAGGGACUGUCUUAGAGGCCUUUGUGGGUGUUGGUUGCAUUUCACCACAUAGAUGUUUUUCUAGGUUGUGAAGGGUUGAGGAUUCUUGUUGUUGGGGGGUUUCUGAUGUAGUUGCUUCUGAAACUACUUCAGAGGCUCUUUGUGGAGUUUGGUCAUUUUGUUGAUUUGUUUGGGUAGGUUCUUGGUUGGGUUGAGGUUGUUGUAUGCUAACAACUUCUGGAAUGACUGGAUACAAAGGAUGAGAAGCAGGCAAAUUGAAUUUCUCACAGAGUUUAAUUAUGUUCUUAGAAAAUUCAAUUUGUGUUUGCUCAUAGUCAAAAGUUCCAAACUCUGUUAGUUUUGUGGGUUUGAUGUUAAGGAGAUUGGUUCAUCUGAUUCUGUGGAUGAUGAUGAGGGUGAAGAGGGUGGAGUAGGUAGGGUGUGAAUCUGAGUAUUAGAUGGAGCUUGAGAUGAAAUACCUGAAGAAUGAGCUUCUGAAGGAGGUGCUUCUGGAGCUUUUGUAGAAGGAUCUGAUGAUGAUGCUCCUGAAGCUUGCUUAUUCUUCAAGGCUUGUGAAAGCAGAGUUGCUCCACGCUGAAUAGUUUCCAUCUCAGAAUCUAUAGCAGCAAUUUCAGGAUCAGGCUCAUACCCUGCAGCCUUGAGUUUAUCUUCCCUUUCCUUUUCAUACAAUUCCUUCAUCCUCUUCUUCUCUUGAAUUUUAGUUCUUGCAUACUCAUUUUCUUCGCUCAGUUGAGUCUCAGACGCUUCAAAUCUGGGCAAGACUUCAAGCUCAGUGUUGGUAGUCCUCUUUACUUUCUUAGGACUUGAGUCUUCAUCCCAGUUCUCUUCAAGCUCUUCCAGCAUCUGCGCCUUGCGUCCUUCAGCUGUCUUCAGAUUUCUUGUUAUAUAAGAUCUCUUCCUUUUGAUGGUCUGAAGAGUAGCUUCUCUUUUCUUCUUAGGACUUAGAGGUUUUUCAGAAGCAGCUUGUUCAGAAGCAACUUGUUCAGAAGCAAGCUGUUCUGCUGUUUCUUAAGCACUCCUUGUCCUUUUUCUGAUAAGAGGGACUUCAUCCAAGUCCUCCACUUCCUCUUGAAUAGUGGACAUUGCAGAUUUUUCCUUCUUAACUUUCUGAUGCUUCUGAGCACCCUUCUCAGUAGCAUCAUCAGCAAGAUAUUCUUCCUUGGUGAUCUGCUUCUUCUUGGACUUUCUGCCUUUAGCCACAGGCAGAGCACCACCAUACAUCUCCUCAGGGACAUCCUUCAGGUCAAUCUUCUUGUUGUAGGUUUUGUAGAAGUCCAUGAUGUAAGCCCUUUGUACAUCCAGGGGAUCUUUCUUGCAGAUAGGGAUGAGAUGAGUGACCAGAUCAGAUAUGGCAUCAGAUUCAUGCAUAUCAGUAUCUAGUUUCUUGAAUGUUGGAAUCAGUCUCAUCUUUAGAAGAGUUGCUCCAUUAAUUAUUUUCCCAGUGACUGCUCCCAGCUUCUGAUUAUCAUAAAUGCCAACGUCCUUCAAGGCACUUAGGAUUCCUCCUUCUUGAAAAAUUACAGAGAGCAGCCUUCCAUAAGGAACAUACUUCCUGUUUUCCAUCUGACUCUUCUUUAGUUCCUUGAUCAUGUACUUGAACAUGUACUUAGGAACAUUCAUCGUGGUCUCUUGAGUGAUGGUGUGAUGCAGGAAAACUUUGUGACCAAGUGAAGGUUGAUCACUUCCUCCACCUUUGGGAAAGAUGUUCUCAUUUUGGAUCUUCAGCAGCAACUUCUUUUGCAUGCUCAAAGUGCUGUAAGGUUUAGCAUCCUUUGAUCCAUAAAUGGUGUUAUUUACAAUUUCCUUCCAGGAGCUGGUUUUGGGAUUAGGAAUCUCUUCUCCAAAGUACUUGCCAGAGGUAUCCCUUCUCAUGGCUUGAGCAAUAAUCUGCUCAUUUAUGGUUACGGGAAUACCCAUGACAUUUGAUCUAAUCUCUGUACCAGUGAAGGCGAGUAGACCCAUUUCUUCUCUGGUUUUUCCCUCCAGAGUAGGAUCAACCAGAAUCAUCUGAGCUUCUUCCUGUCUAGCAGCAUCAAUGUCAAAUAUUGAAGCCCUUACCCAGAAUUGUCUGACCAGAACUUCAUACGUUGGACCAUUGAGAAGACCAAAAUACCCCAUGAGUUGCUGUUUCUCGUAGAACUUUACCAAGUCGCAUCCAUGGCGAGUUAAAGAGGCGAAAUCCACUGGAUUUUCUGCUUGAAUAACUAACUCUCAUUCUUCAAUAGACAUGGUUCUUCCUUUAAUCUCAUAAGCCGGAGUAUCUAUUUCCAUGUUUGAAGAUGAACCACGAGCAAAACUUGAACUUUCCAUUGAUUCGAAGGAGUUUUAGGGUUCUAAGGUGUUUUGAGAGGGAGAGUGAAUGCGCUUACUUCGCAGAGGGUUGAGAAGAAAAUAGAAAGUGUUUGUUGUGAAGUGAGUAGUGUGUGUUUGUUUUAAGUGUUUUUUAUUAAAACGUUUGCAAUUCAGAAGAGACAAACAAACAUAACAUUAAUGACAAAUUGGGGGCGCGUGAUAGUACAUUUAAAAGCAAGUAAAACAUCAUUGCCCUUUUUGUUAUACUCCAAUACAAAUAGACCACGUCAGAGACUUAUCAGAAAACUAACCUUUGGGUAAUGGGACAGCUGUUACAAAAAGUAACUGCCAACGUUCCCACUAGCCUUGCUAUUCAGAAGCAAAUAAUACCGUUUCUGAAGUCUUAGUGCUGACGUCAUCUUCAGAAGCACAUUUUCCUCAGAACCUCAGUUAAGAGCUUCUGAUGGACCAGAUGCUUCUGAAUAGACUUCAGAACCAAAAACUUCUUAUUCAGAGGCAAGCAAUUUUUCAAUCAGACACAAAGUGCAUGUUCAAAUUUUUCUUAAUAAAAUCAAAUCUUUCAACCGAUAAAGGUUUUGUAAAUAUAUCAGCCCAUUGAUGUUCAGUAUCAAUGAAUUGUAUAUCUAAAAUCCCUUUUUGAACAUAGUCUCUGAUAAAAUGGUGUUUGAUCUCAAUAUGCUUGGCUCUUGAAUGUAGAAUUGGAUUCUUUGACAGACAAAUAGCAGCAGUAUUAUCACAAAAAAUGGGAAUACUGUUAGCAUUAAUCUGAUAGUCUUCCAACUGAUGUUUCAUCCAAAGUAGUUGUGUACAACAACUUGCAGCUGAAAUGUAUUCUGCUUCUGCUGUAGACAUAGCAAUAGUUGCUUGUCUUUUGCUUGCCUAGGAUAUCAGAUUCUCUCCCAGGAAUUGACAAUUUCCACUGGUUGAUUUUCUUUCAAUCCUGUCACCAGCAUAAUCAGCAUCACAGAAUCCAAUCAACUUAUAAUCUAGGGAUUUCCUAUACAGGAGUCCAAGAUUAGUUGUUCCUUUCAGAUACCUGAAGAUUCUCUUAACUGCAGUUUAAUGAGAUUCUCUAGGAUCUGAUUGAAAUCUUGCACACAAGCAUACACUGAAUAAAAUAUCAGGUCUAGAUGCAGUGAGGUAUAACAGAGAACCAAUCAUACCUCUGUAUAGCUUCUGGUCUACUAUUGUUCCAGUAUCUUCUUUGCUUAAGGUGCAGGUUGGAUGCAUUGGAGUGUUCAUCACUUUACAAUCUUCUAGCUUAAACUUCUUCAGAAGCUCCUUUGUAUAUUUUGUUUGAUGAACAUAUACUCCUUCUUUACUUUGGUUGAUUUGAAUUCCAAGAAAGAACUUCAAUUCUCCCACAUACUCAUUUCAAAUUCAUCCUGCAUUAACUUAGAAAAUUCUUUGCAAAGAGAUGCAUUAGUAGAACCAAAUAUUAUAUCAUCAACAUAUAUUUGCACAAUCAAAAUGUCUUUCUUAAGAGUCCUUCUGAAGAGUGUUGUGUCAACUUGUCCUCUUUCAAAAUCAUUUUUAAUUAAGAAAUUACUUAGUCUAUCAUACCAAGCUCUGGGAGCUUGUUUCAAGCCAUAUAGUGAUUUCUUAAGUUUAUAAACAUGGUCAGGAUGCUUAAGAUCCUCAAACCCAGGAGGUUGUUUGACAUAAACUUCUUCUUCAAUGACACCAUUAAUAAAACCACUUUUGACAUCCAUUUGAUACAAUAUUAUGCCAUGAUUAAUUGCAUAGGAUAGAAGUAACCUGAUUGCUUCCAAUCUUGCAACUGGAGCAAAUGUUUCAGUGUAAUCAAUGCCUUCUUGUUGACUGUAACCUUGAGCAACAAGUCUGGCUUUGUUUCUGGUUACCUCUCCUUGUUCAUUCAACUUGUUUCUGAAUACCCAUUUUGUUCCAAUAAUGUUCUUCUGAAAAGGUUUGGGUACCAGAUCCCACACAUCAUUCCUCUGAAACUGAUUUAGUUCUUCUUGCAUAGCUAGUAUCCAACCAUCAUCUGAGAGAGCUUCUUCAACAGUUUUAGGCUCAAUUAUUGAAAGCAAUCCUAUUAAUGACUCUUCUUGUCUGAAAUGUGAUCUUGUUCUUCUAGGACUAUCUUUGCUUCCAAUGAUUAGCUCCUUAAGUGUGAAGAUUUGUGUUUGAAUUUAGGUUGAAUAGCCUGCUGAGAGUUAUCUUGAAUAUCCUCAGAAGCAUUCUCAUUCUGUAUUUCUGGACUAGGUUCUGCUUCUGAAUUUGACUCAGCUUCUGGAGUGAUUUCAGCUUCUGGACUAGAUUCAACUUCUGAAUGCUUUUCAGAAUCAGAAAGUUGAUCAGAUUCUGAUGCAUCUUCAGAAUCAAUUGUACCUGCAUUACUUUCACUUUGCUCUGGAGUUUUACUUCCAGGCUCUCUAUCAUCAAAUUUAACAUGCAUAGAUUCUUCAACACAAUGUGUUUCUGAAUUAUACACUCUGUACGCCUUUGACCUUUCAGAGUAACCUAAAAAGAUUCCUCUUUGAGCCUUGGCAUCAAAUUUCUUCAGAUAGUCUUUAGUGUUUAGAAUGUAACAAGUACAUCCAAACUGAUGAAAGUAAGAGAUAUUGGGUCUUGUUCCUUUAAAGAGUUCAUAUGCAGUUUUCUCCAACAUAGGUCUGAUAUAGAUCCUAUUUUGAAUAUAACAUGAAGUAUUAAUUGCUUCUGCCCAGAAAUGUUUAGCUAAAUUGUUUUCAUGGAUCAUGGUUCUGGCCAUUUCUUGUAAGGUUCUGUUCUUUCUCUCUACAACCCCAUUUUGUUGUGGAGUUCUAGGAGAAGAAAAUUCAUGAAGAAUCCCAUGUUUUUCACAAAAAGAUUCAAAUGUCUCAUUUUCAAAUUCACCACCAUGAUCACUUCUGACUUUCAAAAUUUUCAAUUCUUUUUCAGAUUGUAUUUGAGUGCAGAAGCUGCUAAACACUUCACAAGCAUAAUCUUUACUUUUAAUGAAUUUUACCCAAGUCCAUCUGCUGUAAUCAUCAACAAUGACUAAUCCAUAUUUACUUCCAUAUAAGGAUGUAGUGUUAACUUGUCCAAAAAGAUCAAUAUGGAGUAAUUCCAAGGGUCUAGAGGUUGAUACAAUGUCUUUAGAUUUGAAAGAACUUUUCACAAUCUUCCCUUUCUGACAUGCACCACUGAAGGGAUUUUAAGAGGGGUUUUUCAAAAAUUUAAUCCUCUUUGCGGAAGAAAUCCCAUUGAAACGGAUCUUGAUUAAAUCAUUAAUCACAAAUCAAAUAGAAACUUAAACACUUUAAGAUUCAUGUGUUUACCUCUUGAAGAGCAGAACCUUUGUAGAAGAAAUAUUUCUGAUCACGAGCAAAGCAAAGCAGCGAUGCCUCUACUCAGUCCACACGAACAGAACUUCUCUGAUGACCGGUGCUAGCCAAUUCCAACGGAGAUUCAGAGAGAACAAGGUUUAGAGAGCGGCGGCUAGGGUUUCACAACUUUUGUGAAUUAGGUUAAGCACUCACCAAAGGUUAAUAAUGUUUCAACACAAGGGUUCUAUUUAUAGAAUCACUUGUGUGGACAACAAGACAACACUUAAAUACACCGUACUUUACGGUGGACCGCGUUUCUCUAUUUUUCGUAAAUUAAAUAAUAAAGUCAUAUUUAAUUUUUUAAUUAAUAAUAAGUCUCACUUAUUAUUUUAUAAAUAAGUCUCACUUAUUAUUUUAUAAAUAAGUCUUACUUAUUUAUUUCUCUCAUCUAUCUGUCCUUUGUGUGUGACCCUAUAGGUUCCCGUAACGUUGGCAAUAAUAUUAAAUCACAUAUUUAAUAUUAUAAACAGUGAGCGGUAUCUAGCAACACAUCACUGCUACCCAAGUGACGAGAAUGUCAUGUGAUCUGACGAAACCUUUCUGUGAUAAUGAUCAUGUGUAUAAUUACCCUUUUGCCCUCAUGUCUAUAUUGAACACAAGGCAUAGACCGUGUCAUCCUUGUCUAGUUCAAUAUUGGGCCCGUAGACAUUUCUCCUGUUAUGUAGGAGGGGCAAAUUCCAUCUAGGUCACUCAUGUCCCUCAGCAUGAUUCAUGGAGUACCCAUCAACCAACUUUAUAGUCAUCCUGUUACGGACAACGUUUGAAUGGUGACAAAGCACUCGACUCCAACAUCUAGGGUACAUAGUGGUUUCAGGUCGAAGGGUGGAAUACACCACUAUCACUAUGAGAAUAUCUUAUGACACUUUUCAUAACUUUUACUAUGUAGUAUUCUCAUGGCGGAUCAAUCCAAUAUAAAUAUUACUCCUAAUAUUUAUAUCUAUGUGAAGACUUGAUAACUCUUUAUCCAUGAUCUGUGAGAUGUGAUCAUCAGUCUACCUACAUAAUAGUCUCUAUGCUUUAAUGAUAUCCCACUUCUCAACAAAGCUUGACUAUGGAUACUUUGAGAAUAGUUUCCAUAUGUUUAAUGGGGUCUCACAAUUAAGUUAUACUUAAUGUUCCAUUAAACGGACUAACUAUUCUAGGGACUUUAUUAUUUUGAAACAAAACAAAAUCAAUAAAGAAAUGCCUUGUUAUUAUAUAUUCACAAUAUAUAUUUAUAUCAAUAUCAUGAAACAAAGCCAAACCCAAUCAAUAUAGAUUGGCUAUUAGGGCUUAUUCCAACAAUCUCCCACUAGCACUAAAAGCCAAUCAAAUAUUAACUCAAUAUCUAUUGGUCAAGUGUUAGCAUCAAGCACACUCUUGACAAGAUACUAUACUAGCAAAUAAGGAACUCUUUUCUAUGUUGGUAGGUUAUACUUCUUUCAAUUUCCACUUUCGAUCUUCUAUCGAAAAGAAAUUGAAGUGUCAAAGUAUACAUUUGGAUCAUUGGUGAGAUCAAGUUUUCAUUGCUCACAAGAUUUAAAGCAAUUUUACCUCAUACGAGAUCAAUGGAAUCCGCAACGCAAGAAACACAUGUUUUCACUCAGUUAUGAGCUAAACAAUCCAAAUCAUAUAUAUUUGACAUCUGUAAUAGAAACAACAACUAUUUGAAGCUUGUACUUUUAUAAAUUUCAUAGUUGAUAUCCUAGCAUAACAUUUAUUCCAAAUUACGAUCUGGAUAUAUUGUACACUGAUAUGAAAGUCAACAUCAUUGUAACUCAUUUACAAUGUUUCUUUCAUCUGUGUUCAAGAAACAAUCUAUUGUCCUUUAAGACAUCCAAGGAUAUUCUUGAAGGUAUUAUAGUGUCGAACACUAUAAUCAAUUUUGGUACAUAUUGAAAAUAAUUUUCUAACCAUGUCUUACAUGUGUAGAUAAAUUAUUUUGGUGACUAGUAUGUCAUCUACAUACUCCACCAAAAUAAUUUCAAUGCUCCCACUAAUCUCCUUAUGUGCACAAGAUUUCUUUAUUGAUCAAAGUUUUCAUAAAACUUUGUUAAUAAAAUAAACAAUUUAACUUCGAGAAGAUUUCUCUAAUAAAUAAAUUUUGUAAUACAUUUACCUUUCUAGUAUCCUUUGGAUUAACGAAACCCUACAUAUAUGUCAAAUACAUAUAUAAGGUCAUUCUAAUUAAAGAAUGCAAUCUCUUUGCCAUUGUUCUUGUAUGUGCUGUAGAUCAUAGAAGCAACUUUGAUUCUGUCUAUUCUAGCCAUAAUAAAAUCAUCCAAGGCAAUCUCAUGUUUAGUGCCUGAACCUUUAUCACAUUUUUCUUGUAGCUUCUGACAAAGAAUUUUGAGUCUCUCUUCAUAUGUUGUUGAUAUGAGGUUAAACCCUUUUAGUUCUUCUUCAGAAGCUUUCAGUUCCAAUAGAGUUGACUUUUGUUCUUUCAUUAAAUCAACAUAUUUUUCUUUUAAAUCUGUCAACUCAUUGGUUCUGUGCUCAAACAGUGAUAAAAGUUCUUUUAGAGAAUCCACAAGUUCUUGUCUAAGAAUUUUGGAGUAUACCUCAUUUUCAUCUUCUGAAUCUGAUUCAGCUUCUGAAACUGCUUCUGAUGAUACUGUUGCCACUAACCCCAUGGCUGUCUUUGCAUCAUCAUCUGCUUCUUCUUUAUCAGAACCAGAUUCACUGUCCAAAUCUUCCCAGGUUGCCAUCAAGCUCUUUUUGAUUUGCUUUCUAAAUUUACUGGAGCUGAAGCUUGAUUUCUUGGAUUUGCUUUUAGAUUUCUCCUUCUGAAGAUCAGGGCAAUCAACAAUAAAAUGACCAGGCUUUUUGCAGUUGAAGCACCCCUUCUGAUCUUCUUUCUUUGAGUUCUUGUAGCCACCUCUCUUGCUCAAAAAUUUCUUUUGCUUCCUUGCCAGAUACUCAAGUUUGUUGGACAACAUGGCCAUCUUUACAGAUUGAUCUUCAUCAGAAUCUCCAUCAGGUGAUUCUUCUUCAGAUUCACUAGCUUUGUAGGCUUUUGAGGAUUUUGAAGUCUUUCCUUUAGAUGGUAAAGCAAUGGAUUUACUCUUCUUAGAGGAUUCAUGCUCAUUUAGACUCAUUUCAUGCACUUUGAGUGAGCUAACAAGAUCUUCAACACUUAAAGUGUUUAGAUCCCUAGCUUCCUCAAUAGCAGUUACUUUGGGUCUCCAUCUUGAAGGUAAGCUUCUCAAAAUCUUACUGACAUGAUCAGAAGCAACAUAGCUUUUCUUCAGUAUUUGCAAUCCAGAAACCAAAGUUUGAAAUCUUGAGUACAUUUCUUCAAUACUCUCAUCAUCCUUCAUUCUGAAUAGUUCAUACUGAUGAACAAGCAUCAAAGCUUUAGCCUCUUUCAACUUCUUGCUGCCUUCAAAGUUGGCACAUAGUGACGCAAACAUAGCCUUUGCAGUAGAUUUUUCACCCAUCUUCAUAUAUUCGGUGCGAGGUAUAGAAGCCACAAUAAUCCCUCUGAUUUUGUGGUGCUUCUUGUAAAGAUUUUUCUGAGCAGGAGUAUGUAUUCUUUGAAGGUGAGAAAAACACAAGAAGGGGGGGGGGUUGAAUUGUGUUUUCUUUUUCUCUUAAAAAAUACUUCUUCUGAUAAAACUUCAGAAGCACUUUGAUUGCUCCUGAUGAAGUGAUCAGAGUCAGAUUGCAGCGGAAGAGAACAGAGCAGAGAAAAGAAAGACAAAGACACAAGCAGUUAUCCUGGUUCCUUCCACAACACGGAAGUAGUCCAGUCCCCCUUGCACUUCCAAGGAGAUUUUCACUAUAAUCAACAAGAUUACAACUGCUCAAUACUUUCUAAGUAUGAGACUUCACAAAGAUGCUCAAGCACACACGCAAGAGACUUCCAAUGCUCAAGCACUAAGCAAGAGACUUCUAAUGCUCAAGCACUAAGCAAGAGACUUCUAAUCAAACAAAAGUACAGACAAUUGAGUUUGAUUUGAACACUUGAUAUACAAUCAGUGAUGUUCUCAAUACAAUACAGUAAAGACUCUAGACUUUGAAUUUCUAAGAUUUAUCAAAUCAGUGCAGAAAUUCUGUGUGCUUUGUAGAAUCAAUUUGACAGAGUUUUGGCGCUUUUGAACUUGUAUAUCUCUAUCUACAAUCUUCAAGUCUUCACUCCUUUAUAUAGAGGUGUGAAAGAGAUGUUGAGAUUAUCAGCACGUCUAAAGAGUCGUUUGAAAUCCUUUAAUCAUCCACCAGUGAUCCUUUGCCUGAUAUGGGUGUAGUCCUUUGAAGAGUUAGCUUCAAAAUCAUUCCCAUCUUGAAGGCGCACAUUCUGCAGGCAAGGCUGUUGUUUUGUCUUGUAGCGAAGACAAAAACAGAGUAAUGGAGGUAGUGGUUGUACACUUGUACUUUGUCAACUCUAGUAAAGAGAGACAAGUGCUCAGUGCUAUCCAUAUAUCCGUUGGAACCUCCCUUUCAAUUCUUUGUUCUUCUUGGAUAAGACUGAAUUGAGAGCCAGCUACUUUGAAUCUUCAGUUUGAUUGAGGGAUCAAAUGCAGCUUCUGGUGAAGAUAUUUUCCUUCUGAUGAAAACCUUGCUUCUGAUGAUCCUCUGCUUCUGAUGACGUCAUCACUUCAGAAGCACUCUGAACUUCAGGAGCGAUUUUCUUCAGAUGCUUGGAAUUCUUUUUCUUUCCAUUGUUCUUCCAGGACCUGUUGAAAUUACUUGACUAGACUUUGGUCCUGUACACUUGAACAAUUAUUAGUAAUAACCAAUUGACAAUUUUUAAUACCUUGUUAUCAUCAAAACUCAAUAAGGUUCAUUGUGAAACCCAUUUUGUUCCAACAAUCUCCCCCUUUUUGAUGAUGACAAACACUAGUAUUUAAAAUGUUCAAUUGUUGUUGAUCUAAUUAAUAAGUUGACUUCUGGAUAGAGGUUUGUAAGCUCCCCCUGAGUCUAAUAGAUCUUUAAGGUGAGGUUUGUAAGCUCCCCCUGAGUUCUAUUCUUAUUAAUUAAAUUUCAAUAAAGUAUAUAUAAAAACAAUAGCAAAAGUAUUUAAGAAGGUGGUUAUAGUGGGGCUCAGUGUCUUAAAAAUACUAUACAUUUACUCCCCCUUUUGUCAUCAACAAAAAGAAUAAGAACAAAAGACAGAGUAGCAGAGCAUAUAACCAAAUAAAAACAGAAGAAGAAUCAGAGCAAGAAGUAUCAGAGCAUAUGACAUUAAAAUCAAUAAAUAUCAUUAGAGUUUAAAAGAAAAGAGCAUAAUAUUUCAGAAACAUUGAUAAUAUUUAUAAAGAAAGGUUAAGGUACAAGGAUAAAACUACACAGAACAAAAGUAAAAACAAGCUAGAGUUGGGUGUGCAACUAAGGUUGGGCUUGCUUCUUCAACUGUUCUAAGAGAAGUCUAAUCUGUUCAUCCUUCUUCUGAAGUAGCUCAUCCUUCUUCUGAAGUAGUUCUUCCUUCUCUCUUAACUUCCUCUUAUGCCCAGCAUGAAUUCUUGCAGCUCUUGUGAUGUAUUCUGCCUCUGGAUAGAAAGGAGUGAUGUCCAGUAGAGGCACAAAGUUCAGCUCUUUCUCCUUAGCUGCUUCAUGCAUAUCAUCCAAAAGCUUUUGAAGCAUUACAGAGUGGGAUGAUACACACUUGGUUCUUAGCUGACUUAGUAGAUCAUUGAAGCUCUUUUGUAGAUCCAUCCACUGAUCAUAAUAGUGAAUAGGAGGUACAGGAACUGUUCUGCGAAGAAUCAGUGCCUGAAUCUCAUCACUAAGACUAAUCAGUUGUUCCUCUAUAUACUCAGACUCCAGGAUAUGGUCAGGAAUGGGUGAUGGUUGCAUUGGAGUUGUAUUUGAUGAGGAAGGUUGGUCAGAGGUUAAGUCUAUGAAAGUGGGUGAAUCUGGUUGUUGUUGUGGUUCUGUUGUUUGGUCAGAAGAUAUUUGUUGGUCAGGAGCAACUUGUUGGUCAGGAGCAACUUGUUCAGGAACAACUUGUUCAGAAACAGUUUGCUCAGGAAUGGUUUGGGUUUCUGUUUGGGUUUCCAAAACAGUCUUUUCAGGGACUGUCUUAGAGGCCUUUUUGGGUGUUGGUUGCAUUUCACCACCUAGAUGUUUUUCUAAGUUGUGAAUGGUUGAGGAUUCUUGGUGUUGGGGGGUUUCUGAAGUAGUUGCUUCUGAAGCUACUUCAGAGGCUUUUUGUGGAGUUUGGUUAUUUGGAGAGUUUGUUUGGUUAGGUUCUUGGUUAGGUUCAGGAUGUUGUAUACUGACAGGUUCUGGAAUAUCUGGAUAAAGAGGAUGAGAGGUAGGCAAAUUGAAUUUCUCACAUAGUUUAAUCCUAUUUUUGGAAAAUUCUAUUUGAGUUCUCUCAUAGUCAAAUGUUCCAUAUUCUGUCAGUUUGGUAGGUUUGGUUUUUAGNNNNNNNNNNNNNNNNNNNNNNNNNNNNNNNNNNNNNNNNNNNNNNNNNNNNNNNNNNNNNNNNNNNNNNNNNNNNNNNNNNNNNNNNNNNNNNNNNNNNUACUGAAUACGAANUCUANGCUCUGGUACCAACGUUAUUACUAAUUAAUGAUGUUGUUAUGUUGUAUAUGAAUUAGGAUUAAUGAUGUUGUUAUGUUGUAUAUGAAUUAUGAUUAAGAUGUUGUUAUGUUGUAUAUGAACUAUGAUUAUGAUGUGAUGAUCUAUGUUGUUAUGAUUUGGUUAAUAUGUGUUAUAUGAUGAUGUUUAUAAUGUGAUGAAUAUGAAGUAAAUGAUAAUUAGAAGUUGGUUGAACUAUUAAGAAUUAUUACAUAAAGAAUUAUUAUUACUAAUCGAUGAAAUUAAUUAUGUUGUUAAAUAUAAUUAUUGAAUUAUAUGCUUGAUAUUAUUGUUUUGUGAAAUCUCACCCCUUCUACUUGGAAAUGUUGCUCUUCGUAUCAGUAACUUGCAGGUGAUCGAGUUUAAGUUGCUGUUAGAUUGCUGUUGUGAGUGGAUUAGCUCUCAUGUGUGUCUUUAGGUGCUCUGAUACGUAACGGGAUGAGAAUUUUAUUGUUGUCUUUCUAUUCCUUAUGUAUUGUUUUAAGAAGAAUUAUGACUAUGGUUUUAGAUUGGAUUAUAUGAGAAAUUUAUGAAGAGACCUUCGUGCCAAAGACUGUUUAGUUAUUGAAUAAAUUCCGCUGCGAAGUGUUAAAGAUUUUGUUAUUGAAUUUUAAAGGAUAAAUAGUUAUUUAUUCAGUUUAUGAUUUUAAGAAAAAGAAUGUGACAUUCCAUUUAUGUGAAUACUCUGAUUAUAUUUAUGCGAAAUUUUUAUGUUGGGAAAACGGAGUGUUACAUAAUGUAUAUUUAUACAUAUUAUGUUGAGGGCUUGAUGCCCUGUAAGUUAAGGGCUUGAUGCCCUGUGAGCCUAUUUACACUCAAUACGUUAGGUGUAACGCACACCUUUGUUUAAUCGUUUAUUUAAUCGAGUUUAGGCAAUUAUAUUAUAAUUAUAUAGUAUAUGCAUGAUUUUGAUAUGUUUUGAUGAUUUGUGGUGAUUUUAGUGAUUUGAUUGAUGACGUGAUAAGUUAUGAGUUUUGGAAGAUUUGAUAAGGAUAUGAGAUUUAUUUUAUUGUUAAAUAGAAUAAAGAUUUGAAAAUAAUAUAAAAUAUUUAGUUGAGGGCUGUUUUGAUAUUUUAGAUAGUUUUGGGGGAGAAAGUGAGAUAAGAUAAGUAAUUAAUAGGAGAUAUAAAAGAUUAGACCUAGUUUAGAAAAACAUAACGUACGUACGACCGUUUUUGGAGAAAAGGGAGAAAAAGCCAAGUCUAGAGAAACCAAGGGGCAGUGCUGCGAUUUUCUUCAAACAAGGUAAGGGUGAGACUAAUAAUUCAAUAACGUUGAUUGCUGUAAUUCUGAUGAUUAAUUGACAAAGUUAGGAUUGGUUUAGAAAAGUUUUGGAAUUAGGUCAAAACCCUAAAAAUUGAUGAUCAAACGGUAAAACUUGUUUAGAUUGAUGUAGAAACCGUCCUUUAACCUUAGAACAUGUUUAGGAUGGAUUAUGGAAUCAAAAUUAGGCUUUGAACCAUGUUGUUUGAUGGAUUUUCGAGUAAACCCUUAGUCUGCCCGAGCUUCUGUUCAUCGCUCGCCUUGGCGAGGGAUGAUCCUCGCCUCGCGAGUGAUGAACUUCAUCGCCACGCGAGCAAUUCCCUUCGCCUCGCGAGUUGUGUGACGCAGCUCGCCACUGCGAGCAACCUUACUCACCAUCGCGAGCUAAGGCAGAGUGUAUGUUAGAUUUUGUGUUUCGACCUGUUUAGUUGGACCUUGUAUGCCUUUGAGUGCCUGAACAUACCUAGUAUUGAUUAGGAAUGAAUGUAGGAUCAGAGGGAACCCAGAACAAGAUUAGUUUGGGAGUUGAGUGGUACUCGCCAUGGCGAGUAAGAACUCUCGCCUCGCGAGCACAAUCAGAAUGUAGUUGCUUGAGUGUUUGUGCGAUCUGUGUCGCACGUGUUGACCAAGAGUGAACCCCUAAUUGGUAUUGAGACCUAAUGAUGACGUUUAAUGCAGUCUGUAGACUUGUUUAAGUUAUGUUGAUAUUAAUUGAACAUGAACUAAUGUAUUGUAUAUUCAUGCAAGAUAUGAAGGUUUGAUAAUGAUGCAAUUUGUGUGCUAUUGAUAUAAUGAUAUCAUCUUGUUAUGUGACUUGUUUAUGCUGCUUCCGUUAUUUAACUAAGUGCAUAAGUAUAUGAUGAAGUUUAGCUCCAAAUUAUUGGAUGCAUGUUGAUAUGCUGAUUACGAUGUUUUGUUCAUAAGUGUCCAUGCAUAGCAUCUCAUUGAGCUUAGUCCUCACCACGAUUAUUAGGAGUUUUGUCCUCCGCACAUUUUAUAGGAGCUUUGUCCUCCGCACGAUUAAAGUAUAUUAAUACUUAUGAUGACGAUUGGUACCACAUGCAUAUAAGGAGUCUAAGAGCAUUGUCACAUUGUCAUGAUUAAGAUGCCUUGUUGAUGAUGAUUGAAUACGUGAUUACGUGAUAAAUGUUUAUCAAUUAUGUUAUGUUGUUCAUGAUAAUUGGAUAUAUGAUUACGGUAUAACUGUUUAGUAAAUAUGCAAUGUUGUUAAAGAAAUGAUUAUGAUGUUAAUUUAUGAUUCGCAAUUACAUUGAUUAAUGUUAUUUUGUUAUGAAAUCUCACCCCUUCUGCUUGAAAAUGUUGCCCUUCGUAUGGGUAACUUGCAGGUGAUCGUGCUUAGUGUGCAGUUGCCGUCGUGAGUGGCCUUGUCUUCACUGUGUCGUCUAGGUCGCUCUGAUACGUAACGGGAUGGGGUUUAAUGUUAUACAUGCUUCAUUCUUUUACGUGAUUAAUAUGUUAUUUUUAUCAUGUUAUGGAUUACGAACUAUUUUAAUGGGGCCUACGUGCCAAACUGAUUUAUGAUUUUCGAAUUAGUAUUCCGCUGCUAUGUUAAGAAUAUUUUGUGAAGGUUAAAUUAUUAUUUAACUGUUUUUGGAUUACGUUUCUAUGUGAUAUCCCGUUUAUGGUUUUUACUCUGAUAAUUGUUUAAGAAAUUUGUAUAUUGGGAAAACGGGGUGUUACAUUGGGGGCUUGAUGCCCUGGUUGGUACCACAUGCAUGAUUAAGAAGUUGAAGUUGCAUUUGUCGAGUUCAAGUUCUUGAAACCGCGUUGUCGUUUUCGUUAAUUAAGUUGUAAUUUAUCAAUGAGUUGUUAAUGAAGAACUAUGCGAAGUAUUAAUAUUUAUUAAUCGUUGUUGUUUAUGUUGUUAUAUGAUGAUGUUUAUGAUGCGAAAUAUUAAUUAUUAUGUUAUUGAAUUUUGAAGGAUAAUUACUUAAUUAUUCCGUUUAUGAUUUUAAGAAAAGAAGUGUGACAUACCGUUUAUGUGGAUUAUUCUAAUUAUUUUUAUGAAAUUUUUAUGUUGGGAAAACGGGGUGUUACAAUUGGUAUCAGAGCAGGUCGGUCCGUCCGGCCAAGUAGUUGAGUCAUUUGUGUCGUGUGACAGUUGAAUACUGUCGUUGUGUUUUCUAAUUAAUGGUUAUGUUUUUAUUUUUAUUUUUUAUGUGAUCAUGUCUGACUAACUAACUUUAAUGUGAUUUUUGUGUAUUGAUGAAGUUUCCAUUUUGUUAUAUAGUUUAAGAUAUUUAAGUGAUCAUUGAAUUCAUUUUUCUCUUGUGUUUGAAUUUCGAGUACGAAAUUCUUUUAAGGGGGUAGAGUUGUAACGCCCUCUUUACUUAUUUAAUUAUUUUAUAGAGUUUAUAGUCCACUUUGAUAAUUUAUGUGAUUUUAUAUGAUUAUGUGAUGUAUUGAUAUUUUAUUUAAAGACUUGUUUUAUUAUUUACUAGAAUAAGAUUUGAAAAUAAAAUAAAUAUUGAGAUGUGGGGCUGUUUUGGAAUUUAGAAGAGUUUAGUGGAAAUAGAGGAAAUAAGAUAAAGUGGAUUGAGGAGAGAUAUAAGGAGGAAACUAGGUUUAGAAUUUUUUUUUACGUGAAACUGCUUUUUGGAGAAAAAGGGAGAAAACAAGAAAAGAAGAGAACCCAGAGGGAGAGAGACCGCCGAUCAUCAAUACUAAGGUAAGAGUGUGACUAACUUUCUCUAAUUCUAGGUUGUAUAAUUCUGAAAUUGAGUUUAACAUGUUGUAGGUUGUAGUUAUGGCAAUUUGGGAAUUAGGUUUUGAAGUUGUAAUUGGUUGUUAAUAGAGUAGAAAAUCCGUUGAAUUUAUGUUUAGAUCAUGGUGGUUAUUUUUAGUGCAAUGUUUUAUAUGGUUUUGAGUGCCUUAGCAUGUAUAGAAAUGGUUAGACAAGUUUUUGGAUCAAAUUUGGGCAUAGGGAAGUUAAAUUUGGGAAUUUCGGGUGAAAAGUGGAUUUUUCCCGAGUUGCUCUCUGACAGCAUGUCCUGUUCCAUGUUCUUGUGUCUUUUUCACACAUUUCUGUUUUGAAUUGGCCUUUGGUGUAAACAUGAAAGUUGUAGAUAAUUGAGUUAGUUUUCCAGUGGCUUUGGUUUGACAUGAAAAUGAUUUUUGGUUCUUGAGAUAUGAUGAAAAUACUCCAAGGAGGUCUUAGUGAAAUCUUAUGAAAUUGAAUAUGAGGCUGGGUAGGUGGCUUGAAUUGCUGAAGGACUAUGAAUUGAGUAGGAAGACUUUUCAUAUGUCCGCUAUGAUGGUAAAGGAGUUCGAGUUGCUUGAAUAGUUCAAAGAUUUGAGCCUAGUUUGCGAGAUGUCAUCUAAGAGUUUGAAGCUAGGAAUGCUGAAGAUUGAUAAUGAAUUUCUGAAAAGUAUUAAAGAAGCACAUAAAGUUGAUGUUAAGUUUGUAGACUUGUUGGUUGCUAGUAAUCAGACUGAAGACAGUGAUUUUAAAAUCGAUGAUCAAGGUGUGUUGAGGUUUCAAAAUAGAAUAUGUAUUCCAGACGAUGAUGAGAUGAAGAAGAUGAUUCUCGAAGAGAGUCAUAGAAGUAGCUUGAGUAUUCACCCGGGAGCUGCGAAGAUGUAACAUGAUCUAAAGAAGUUAUUUUGGUGGUCUGGGUUGAAACGCAAUGUGGCACAAUUUGUGUAUUCUUGUUUGAUUUGUCAGAAGUCGAAGGUUGAGCAUCAGAAACCUGCUGGUAUGAUGGUGUCUUUAGAUGUGCCAGAGUAGAAAUGGGAUAGCAUAUCCAUGGAUUUUGUGACAAGCUUGCCAAAUACUCCUUAAGGGAAUGACGUGAUUUGGGUGAUUGUUGAUAGAUUGACGAAGUCGGCUCAUUUUCUUCCGAUUAAUAUAAGUUUUCCUGUUUCUCAGUUGACAGAGAUUUAUAUUCGAGAUAUUGUGAAGUUGCAUGGUGUUCUUUCGAGUAUUGUAUCAGAUAGAGAUCCAAGAUUUACUUCUAGAUUUUGGAAAAGUUUGCAAGAGGCUUUGAGUUCUAAGUUGAGGUUGAGUUCGGCGUAUCAUCCGCAGACAGAUGGUCUGUCAGAGAGGACGAUUCAGUCGCUAGAGGACUUGUUGAGGGUUUGUGUGCUUGAGCAAGGAGGAACUUGGGAUAGUCAUCUUCCAUUGAUAGUGUUCAUGUACAAUAAUAGUUAUCAUUCUAGUAUUGGAAUGGCACCUUAUGAGGCUUUGUAUGGUCGGAGAUGCAGAACUCCGUUGUGUUGGUUUGAGUCAGGUGAAAGGGUGGUUUUAGGACCCGAGAAUGUUCAACAAACUACUGAGAAAGUUAAAAUGAUUCAAGAAAAGAUGAAAGCGUCGCAGAGUUGACAAAAGAGUUACCAUGAUAAGCGUAGAAAAGACCUUGAGUUUCAAGAAGGGGAUCACGUAUUUUUGAGAGUCACUCCUGUGACUGGUGUUGGACGUGCAUUGAAGUAAAGGAAGUUGACUCCGAGAUUUAUUGGUCCAUAUCAGAUAUCAGAAAGAGUUGGAACGGUGGCGUACCGAGUGGGUUUACCACCGCAUCUUUCGAAUUUGCACGAUGUGUUUGAUGUGUCGCAACUUCGGAAGUAUGUUCUGGAUCCAUCCCAUGUGAUCCAAAGUGAUGAUGUGCAAGUUAGAGAUAACCUUACGGUUGAGACUUUACCGGUGAAGAUUGAUGAUCGAAAAGUGAAGACGUUGAAAGGCAAGGAGAUACCUCUUGUGAGAGUCGUUUGGGAAGGAGCGACUGGUGAAAGCUUAACGUGGGAGCUAGAGAGUAAGAUGCUGGAAUCUUAUCCAGAGUUGUUUGCAUGAGGUAAAUUUUCGAGGAUGAAAAUCUUAUAAGUAUGGGAGAGUUGUAACGCCCUCUUUGAAUUAUUUAAUUAUUUAAUUGAGUCUAGAAGUUAUUAAGAUGAGUUUAUAUUAUAUUUAUAUGAUAUAUGUGUGAUGAAAAAGAUUUAUAUGAUUGAGGCGUUGUGACUUAUUUUAUUGUUUAAUAAAAUAAGAUUUGAAAAUAAAAUAAUUAUUGAGUUUAGGGGUUGUUUUGAGAUUUUAGAGAGUUUUGGGGGAGAAAGAGAAAUAAAAUAAGAUAAAUGGAGGAGAUAUAAAUAGGAGAGACCUAGUUUAGAAAAAAAAAAAUUACGUACGAUCAGUUUUUGGAGAAAAGAGAGAAAAAAGCCAAGAGGAGAGCAAGAGAUCUAGAGUGCUGCAAUUUUUUAUUCUAAGGUAAGGGUGAGACUAGCAUUCAAUUCUAUUAUCCUAUAUAAUUCAUAUGGUUGUAUUUAGCAAAUGUAGGAUUGAAUUAUAGAAGUUUGAAAACUAGGGUUAAUGAGAGAAAUUGAGGAUUAAUUGAUGUAGAAUGGUUAGAUUGAUGUAGGAACUAUUUACAAACUUUAGAUAAGUCAUAAGAUGAUUGCAGGAAUCAAUGUUAGGCUUAAAACCAUGUGAAAUAGUGAAUUUUCGUGAAAACUGCAAUUCUUCCCGAGCUAUGAUCCUCGCCAUAGUGAGUGAUGAACUUCAUCGCUCGCCACGCAAACAAGUUUUCCCCGCCCCGCGAGUUGCACCUUGCAGCUCGCCAUAUAGUGAGCAUAUUCAAUGGCCUAGCGAGUGUGACCAGAGAGGCAUCAUGAUUUCAUAAUUUUGACCUUUAAGUUGAACCUUAGAUGCUUUUGAGUGGCUGAACAUGUAUAAUGAUGAUUAGGAAAGAUUUUAGAAUGAGGUUGAACCUGGAAAGAUUUUAGAAUGAAGUUUUGUGAGUUGCACCUGAACUCGCCAUGGCGAGUAGAGGCUCUCGCCUCGCGAACUGCCCAAUUACAGAAUGCUUUGUUAGGUUAAAUGUGAUCCUUGUCGCACGAGUUGAUGUGAGUUGAUCUUAGAGGUUAGAAACUAAAUUGUUUAUCUUGAUGUUGCUGUUUCAGUAAGCCUGAAUUGUAUAAUCCAAUGUUGUUGUUUCGAUAUUGUUAUAUCAUGAUGAUUUGCAUACUGCCUAUGUUGCUGUUUGUUAUUUAACUAAGCUGCAUGAGUCGGUCUAAGUUGAUUAAGAUGAUGAUGUUGCCUUUGCUCACCACAUUGGGGGCUUGAUGCCCUGGAGCUUUAGCUCAAUUAUGUUGGGGGCUUGAUGCUCUGGAAGUAUAUUAAUACUUAUUACGUUGAGGGCUUGAUGCCCUGGAUUGAUACCACAUGCAUAUAAGAGGUCUAAGUUGCAUAGUCGCAUUCGUCGAGUCAAAGAUGUUAAGUUGCCAAGUUGUUGAAGUUGUGAUUCUUUAUAUAAGUUAUUAAUGAAGUGAUAUAUGAUAUAUUAUUAUCCAUGAUGAAUAUUAUGAUGUUUUCAUGUUGUUAAAUAUAAUUGUUGAAUUAUAUGUUUAAUAUUAUUGUUUUGUGAUAUCUCACCCCUUCUGCUUGGAAAUGUUGCUCUUCGCAUGAGUAACUUGCAGGUGAUCGAGAGUAGUUGUUGUUGCCUUGCUGUCGUGAGUGGUUAUCCCUCACUGAGUCUUUUAGGUGCUUUGAUACGUAACGGGAUGAGAUCUUUUGUGGCUAUUUCUUAUUCCUUUACGUAUUUGUUUUAUGAGUUUAAAUGAUUAAGUUGUUUAACUGAUUUAGGAGAUGUUUUGAUGAGGCCUGCGUGCCAAGACUUAUUUUUGUUGAUGAAUUUAAUCCGCUGUAAUGUUUUGGAAUUGAUUUAUGUUGAAGGAUAAUUAGUUAAUUAUCUCAUUUAUGAUUUUAUGAAGUGUAGCAUUUCGUUUAUGUGUUGAAUACUCUGAUAUAUGUUUGAAAUUUUUAAGUUGGGAAAACGGGGUGUUACACGGGGAGUGGUCGAUCGCCGGUGCACAAGGCACGACAAUGAACGACUCCCAACAGCUUAUAGAGGAACUGAAUCACACCGGAACGAGAGGGUUCCUGAGGUCGUGCAGGUAUGGAACUGCAUGGUUGAAGGAAAGCUUAUAAGAAUUGUUUGGUACUACCUAUAUCAACAAGAUGAAUCUUCUUUUCGGUAGCUCAUUCCAUAAGAACUCCGUACGAGUGAGGACAAAACACGCUGAAAAGACUCGUGUUGAUUUGUGGGGUCAGUCGACAAUCUUAGAUGCAAUCUGGAAUGUUACAUCAAGUUUCAGCUACCAAAGUCUACACUUUUACUACUAAUGUCAAGUCUGAAACUUCCUUCUUAUCUUCCAUGUGGACCAAUGUGGGACACUUCCUUUGAAUUAGUAACGUGUACCGGUCAAUGAAGGAUGGAUAGGUGGAUGAAGACUAGUAAUACUUAUGUAAACCAAUGCGUGCCUUUAAAAUCAAUGUCAAUGACUUAAAAAUCAAACUGACAUUUUCAAAUGGGUCCCUAAAAAUUAAUCAAGAACUGUGAUAUUUUGUUUAGACCUCAAAAGUUAAAAGUCGUUCUGAUAUUUAUUAUGUGUCCAAACAAAUACUUAAUCUCAUCUAUUGAACUGACAUUUUCAGCUCUUAUUAUGUGUCUAUACAUUAACUUGAUAUUUAUAUUUGAAAUUUGAUUCACCUCUUGUAAAUUCUUCAUAAAGUUUGAAAGAUAAAUAAUUAGUGUUGACAUCCAAUUUAAAAAGAGAAAUGAUAUUUGUACAACUAUUUUGUGACAACUUUUGUAUAACUUUCCUUCUCAUACUCACAUGAUGGUCUUAUCCUCUCUCUUCCUUUUUUUCUCUCUCUCUCUAUUAUUUUUGACCAAUAAAAAGAGAGAAAAACAAGGUUGUCAUUAAAGUUGUCAUGAAAUGGAUGUACAAAUAUCAUUUGCUGAUUUAAAAAUGAAUAAACUAAACAAGAAGCUAUCAUCUCUCUUUGAGAAACUUCAUUUCAACAUUUUAACCAUUAGAAGAGUGAGGAAAAUACAACAUGUUAGUAAGCUAGGUGUGUGAAAAUGAUUUCAUUUAUAAUUUCAGAAACUCAGUUCAAACGACAAGCAGGAAAAAAUACUUCAACUUACAAAAUGAUUGAUGUAAAAUCAUUAUUUUUCAUUUCUAAAUUUUAUCUGAUUCUAAUGUGUUGGUUGAUUUAAAAUAUCAUUUUAGUUGUAUUAAAAUAUUUACAUGGAAAUGUUUAAUUUGUAGGUGAUUGAUAAUUUCUAGUUGAAAAAAUAUAUUUUAUUUAAGCUACAGAAACGAGCAAGAAAGUAGAGGGGAAUGAAUACCCUGUAUGGUUCCUUAUAAAAUGAACCCAUGAGAAUAUUGGUCCAUGAUGGACCAAUUUUUUCAAUAGUUAGAUUAGAUGAACCCCAAAAUUUUAUCAUGAUCUAUAAACACUCAAUCUAACCCAUCUUCCCUUAUCAUUUUAUAAAAAAAUCAUUUUUACCCUUUAUAAUUAUUUUAAUUUAAAAUAUUACAUAUUGUUAUGGUAAUUUUUUUUUCUUGACAAAUUUGUUACAGUAAAUUUUUUUGUUGCUGUUUACACUUUUUUUCAUGAAUUUGUUACGGUAAAUGUUGGACAGCUGCAUAUUAUUAUUUGAUUUUAUUUUUACGAAAACUUACAAGUUUUUUUUAAGGAGAAUUUUUUUUUUUUUUUUUUUACAAAUAGGUGAAAGGGUACAUGCUAUUUUUUUUAAUAAGAAAAGGUACGUGUUAUUUUUAUUUUUUUGAAAGAAAAAAAUACAUGUUAAUGUUACCUGAAAAGUUUAAUUUAGUUACCGUUAUCAAUUAUUUAUUUUUGCAUUGUUUUUUUAGAAUAGUCAUAUUAUCCUUUCCAAAAGACUAAUAAUAGCAGUAACUGUUCAUUGCUAUCUUUUAUAAAACAAACUUUCUCGUUGCUAUGUUUAAGUAAAUGAAAAUAAAUUUUUGUGAGUAAAUAUUAAUUUAAUAUUAUAAUAUAAAAGAUAUGUUAAAUUAUUAAAUUCUAAAUAUUGAUCGAAAAUGAUGGGUUUUUAUUGAAAACAAUUGAAGAUUGAAUGUUGAAAUUACAGAAAGAAAAAGAAGGCAGAAAAAUAUUUUAAAAAGAGUAAAGAAAAUAAUCAGACAUGUAAAGUGCAUUAUGUUAUUGUGCAUACAUAUAAUCCAAUGGUUAUAAAUAUUGGUCCAUUAUGAACCAAUACUUACAUAGGUCCAAGCUAAAGGGAGCAGAUUCCCUCCUGUGAAAACUUUCUCCAGUUUUCUACUGUUUAAAUCUAAACCAUUAAAUACAUUAUCUCUCUUCAUUUUGACAUUUAAUUCCUAUUUAAUUCUUCACAUGUAUUUAUCAUUUAAUGGCUAGGAUUCCACAGGACUCUCCAGUCACAGGAGAAGAUCCAAUCCCCAAGCUAAAUGCCACUUUUUGAGACUUUGCCAAAGCUCGACAUGGUGUAACCACACGGUUAGAAGAAUUCAUUUUACUAUUUUAGUAACAUAAAUAAAGCUCUUCACAAAUAAGAACUGCUUCUUCCAAAAUGUGAUUACGUCGAAAAACAUUUAAACAAAGUAAGACUGCAUUCGUUCCAUACAAAUUUCAUCAUAUUAUUAUUCCUCAUGGAACUUCCCAACAGGAAAUCUAAAGUGAAACCAGUAGGAAUUUUUUGGGCUUUUGUCAAAACGUUAUGGAUGCAUUGAACUUGUCAAACAUAGAAACUGAUAAAACUUCCAAGCUAAGAGGUAUUUAAUACAAAAAAACAAGCAAUGUCAAGAAAUACAUUUUGCUCCUCUAAGUAUCUUUUGUAUCUCUUUAUUGGGAAUCCUGUCAUACCCAUCUAAUGUGUUCUUCCAUACUUCUAUGUUCUUUCCAAACAAGUUAGAACCCACUAUUUCUAAAACUAAGGGAAUGCCCGAACCAUAUGAAACUGCACGGUUUAAAACAUCUUCAUAACUUGGCGGUACUUUGUUAUUCUUAAAAGCCGUCCACCUCAACAAUUCAAGAGCUUCCUUCCCAUAUAGCCCUCUUACUGCAUAUGUUCUUUCUAUCCCAUGACAGGUUAGUAAGUGUUUAUCUCGGGUGGUGAUGAUGACUCUGCUUCCAGGACCGAACCAAUCAAGUCCUCCAGCCAAAGCCUCUAGCUGAUCCAGUUGGUCAACAUCAUCGAGAAUCAAAAGAAUCUUCUUCCUACAUAGCCUUUCCUUAAUGAUUGGAAUUCCCUCAGAAACAUCUCUUAACUUAAUGUUCAGUUGAACUGUUUUUGAAAGGAGCUCCUUCUGGAGAUGUUUCAAGUUUUUACGAGCUGAAUUCUCUC
rnacentral:lncRNA from 1 species